rnacentral:lncRNA from 1 species
CCUCAAAAAUGGUAACUCCGAGGGACUUAAAUUCUUUGAGAAGGUCCAGCUUGGAGGGAUCAUGAGGAGGUUUCACGGGUCGAGCAUAAACAUAAGUAGGAUGAGCAGCUGCGACGCAUGCUUUCACCUGGUAUGUACCGUAAUAUCCGGUUCCUCCGAAUAUAAGUAUCUUGCUCUUCUUCUCAAUGUCUCCCAUUCUCUUUACAAACAACCUCCUGCUCUUGUUUAAAAUCUCUACGCACCUCCGUUCUUGAAAUAUAUAAAAGAACCAGUUAGUCGAAUUAUUUGGAAAUACGGUACUCCCUCCGUCCCAACCAAUUGUAUACAUUUGGUUGGGACAUGAAGACCAAUAAAAACAUGAAAAAUGGGUAUAAUGGUAGAGUUUACUAGUUUUGAUAUGUAUACAAUACAAUUGGUGAGACGUCACAAAAAGGAAACUGUAUACAAAUGAAUGGGACGGACAGCGUAAUAGUUACGCAAUAGCUCCGCCUCAGACAUUCUGUUUAUUAUGGUCGCUAACAUGAGUCGUAGAUUAUUUUCGCACCACCUUCUGGAGUUUUUUCAACGAAAGACAAAGAAGCCAGAAUAUUGAUGAAAGAGUAAAGAAAAAGGAGUGUACAUGUGACUUGUCUUUCUCAAAGAUACUUCCAAUCUUCGGUUAUCUUUGAGAAAAAUUUAUUUCACAUUUUUGUUUUCCCUCCCUCUGGGAAAAUAUGGAAAGGUCCGAAACAUAUCUAUCUCCGCAUGUAAAAUAAAAAAAUUAUGUUGCCUUGUCAAGAUAUUUUAGCUGCUCGGAAUAUAUUCUUGUCAUUUAGCUAAACUAAUAAACAUCGUAAUAUCUCUGACCCUAGAAAUGGUGGGCUAAAUUCGAUUCAUAUUAUAUUGUAUAAAAUUUGCCUAACACAUUCAACUUUGACAAUAUUGAUAAUAUUGAUUGGCUAUAUUAAAAAAAUAAUAUAUUAUUAUUAUUUUAAAUUAUUAUAAACAAAAUAUAUUAUUUUUAUACAAUAAUAGAUGUCGAAAAGUAAUAGGUGUACAUUGUUAUUUUUAUACGAUAAUCCGCACACAAAUACAUUAGGUUGUUAUUUAAUUGGUGAAUAUGCAUAUGAAUCCACACAUUGCAGCACCCCUUAAUCUUGCAGAGGUCUGAUGAACCUUGCUACUUUUGCUUUCUAUUUAAACGGCUUUUUUCUCAUACUUGGUCUUUGCAUAUUCUGUAGCAUUAUUGUAUUUUCUACACCAACUGGUUUUAUGGAUAACAAUAAAUCUUCAAAAAUUACCAAGUACUUUGGUAUUCGCAUGCAACGUUACAUUUGGUUUUUGCCUGAAGUUCUUUCUUUAGAUCAGGCUUCUAUCUCUCUUACUCUCUAAGGCUCUAUCCCUGUGGAAGUAGUAGAAGUUUUGCUACCUGGUUGAUAAUUGCAGAUAAGAAUGUAUAACAUGGAAGUGAAUAGUUGUACACACAUUAUCUAAUGAUAACGUUCAGUGUCUUGAUGUUUCUGCUAUUAGACUAAUUAGUAUAAUGACCAAUUUUUUGGCAGCUAGAAUCAAAUUAUUCAAAGGUCUUGCAGAAGAGCUUUUAAGACAACAAGUGAAAAAAGCCAGCUCAGGAUUAAACAAGAUAUAUUGCCAAAGUUUUUAAAAUUAUGUGUGAAUAAAAUACUAGAAGCAGCUACUUGAAACAUCAUUGGAGAUAUCAGUAAUCAUCGAUUACAUGUAAGCCAGACAUUAGUAGUCUAAACAAAAUACUUGAGAGAUUCAGAUUAUUGGACAUCUUUUCGGAAACCAAACUAAAAUUAACUACUCCAAAGCAGCUACUCCUGGUUUUGGCGGAUCGACCAUAAAGAUAUCAAGAAGUUCAUCAACUGAUGUAUACUUGUAAUCUGGAUAAAGCUCGACUGCAUCCAGAUCAUCCUCUUUCAUUUCAUAAUUCAUCUGUUCACCUUUUACGAAGAUGCUAUGAACUAUGGAGUUCCCAACAGCAUUCUCUGAUGGAAAUGCUGCCAAUUCAAAAUUUUAGUUGCUUAAUGUUUUAGGCACUCUUAUAAAUCUGCAAUUUUACUUGUAAAAAGUUGGAAUUCAAGUAAAGUAAGUUUUAUUAAAUGAGUUGGUGUGCAGCCUCGUACAAUGAGUUGGUCGUCCUACACUUUCCUAGUUUGAGUCUCAUAUUGAAGAGGUUUCCAUACUCCAACGGAGGCUAGGAAAUGUUGAAUGUGAAAAGCAACUUGUCUUGACUUGGUUGGUAAUGACGCACAUCUAUGGAGAUCUCUGCUCAGAACACAAGCACCCCUCAGGGUGUCAAAACAUUAAACACUAAACAGCAUAGACUGUUAGCUCAUAAAUUAUCUGUAGCUGCUAGCACAGAUUGGUGGACAUCUCAGCAGGGCCGUCUGGGAGAAUUUUGGGGCCCUGUGCUAUAAUAUGAAGUAGGCCUCAAAUAAUAAUAAAAAAUAUGUAUAUUAUAAAAAUAAAUAAAUAAUAAAAAUAUUAAUUUUUUAUAAAAUUAAAACAUGUCACUUAAAAUAAGAUAAAUAAUGUUAUUAAAUAAUAGUAAUUUUAAUAUUUUAAACAAAAUUAAUAUGAAUUUAUAUGAGAUAUAUCUAUAUGUCAUUGAAAAGAAUGAAAUUUAUAGUACAUAUGAAAAAAUAUCAUAUGUAAAAAACAUUAUGAAAACAUUUAAUAAAAGAGAAAUUAUUAUAUAAAAAGUAAAGAUACAACAUAAAAGAUUUAAAAUGCAAAUAGACAUAAUAAACUAAUCUAUUAGAUUAUGUAAUUAUUUAUCUAUAAAUAAACAGAAUUAAAAUAAAUAUAUAAUUUUUAAUUUUCAAUUUCAUUUUCGAAAUUUAAUUUUAUUAAAUAAAACAUUGAUUUCUAAAUUUUGAGGCCCCUAUAGUUUUGGGGCCCUGUGCCGUCGCCCACCUUGCACGCCUCAAAAACCGGCCCUGCAUCUCAGCCAUCACAAUCAAUAUCAAGUACCCCUGGUUUCUGCUGAUCUUGUUUAGGCCUGCCUGCUUGACUUUGUUUGACUUGUAAGGUUAUUGUUUCUGGAGUAGUGGAGUUUAGCACUAGCUAUGAAAGUAGUACGUGAUCAGUGAGCAUAAAAUAUCCACUCGCCUGGAAGUUUUAAGGAUUAUGUUCUACAGUAAUUAUGCGCACUACCAUCAUCAUAUUUUCAAAUUCAUUAUCAUUUUAUUUAUUCUGGUUUAACAUCAUCAUAUAUAUAUAUUUGUAUAUGACAGCACAAGCAAUGACACAGAUCAACAGGCAUUGCUUUCUAAUAAGGCUUCGACAGCAGAUGACCCGUUUGGUGUUCUGGCCUCAGGAACAGUUCCAUUCACUUCAGUCACAAUGAAAUUUGUAUGAAAACCUAGUUUAAACAAUAAACACUGCAAUCAGGAAAUCACUUUCAUGUCAAACAAAAGGGAAAAAACAUGCAAACAACAAUUAAAAGCAUAUACCAGCAAAAUGAGCUCUACAAUCAGAAAAUAUAUUCAAAAUAACCUAAUAGCACAUUAUCCCACAAUCAAUAUAUCACUUUCAUUUCAAGUAGAUAUAUGAAUCAAACAGGAAAACAUCAAAAACUAUAAAGAAUUUAUAGGAUUUACAGCCAGAGAAACUUCACAAUCUAGGAUUUUAUUCUGAAUAACCUAUCGGCAUGCGAUCAUAUUUUGCAGGGCUGAAAUCUUUAGAUUUAACAUGAGAAGUUCUCGAACCUAGUCAUUCAAACACCAGUCUUUCCACUACUGCAUAUAAAUAAAAGAUAAGUCAAUAUCAGCUAUAGUGGGAGAACACUUUCACAUAAAAAGAUGAUAAUUUACACUGGCAUCAUGCCUAUGAAUUUAAAUUGGGUUACUUUGGAAAUCAUCAACUAAGUUAAUAUAUCAAUAGACAAUAACGCUUGCCAGAAAUUCUAGAAAUUAAGAAAAUUAGAUUCAGAUUAGCUAGAGGUGCCACAUAACCGUCCUCGUCUUCUCCUUUAUUUUAAAUAUAUAUUGCAUUGAUGGUUGAUUGAUAUAUUGGUAUCAAUGAAAAAAGUUUGUCUGGUUUUAGCGAAUAUAUAUAUAAGUUGCAAAAAGAAACUGGCUAACAACCCAAUUACAAAUGGUACGUGUCAAGAACACAACAUAAACUUUGUGCAUAAAUGGUCUGUAGAUCUUUGCGCAGACCAUUUAUGCGCAGAUUGUGCAUGAUAUUGCUUUCUUAGUCAAUAUUCUUAGUCUGUGGAGUUCAGCAAAAAGACACCAUGAAACUUGUACUUGAUUAGUAAUUAUUAAAAUUCCACUCACCUACAGUUUUAAGGAAUGUUUUACUAUAUGUAUGUGCACUACCAGUACCAGUAAUUCAUCCCCUCACCAUUUUCUCGUUUCAGUGUACAUCAGCAAUUCAAGAUUGAACCCAUGAUUUCCCGAUUCAUCAUUCUCUCUAUACUAGUUGUCACAACAUCAAAAAAAUAUGUAUUUGCAUCUCCAAGCAAUGACACUGAUCAAGAGGCGUUGCUUUCUUUCAAGGCUUCCAUAACAGAUGACCCAUUGCGUGUGCUGGCUUCAUGGAACAAUUCCAUUCACUUCUGUCAUUGGACAGGCGUUACAUGCAGCCACAAACGACAGAGGGUAACAUCACUACGUCUCACCUUGAAACAUCUGGUGGUGGGUACAUUAUCUCCAUAUAUUGGAAACCUUUCCUUUCUCAGGGAAAUUUACCUCUACGGAAACAACUUUCACGGCUCUGUCCCAAAUGAAGUUGGUCGCCUGUUUCGUCUGCAAUAUCUUAUUCUAAGGAACAACUCUUUCCAGGGUGGAGUACCUGCCAAUUUGAGUCAUUGUGUGGCUAUGAGAGAAAUUAGUAUGUACAACAACAAUCUAGAAGGCAAACUUCCUACUGAGUUUGCUUCCUGGCCUAAGAUUGAACGGAUUGACCUCGCCAAGAAUCAUUUUACUGGCUCCAUUCCGCCUUCAAUAGGAAACAUAUCAUCCCUUCUUCUUCUUUAUCUUGAUGAAAACAAUUUAGCUGGGGGCAUACCUUUGGAAAUUGCUCAUCUUGUUAAAUUGGAGACUCUCGUCUUGGGAAUGAACGAUUUGUCAGGUACGGUUCCCCCACCACUUUACAACAUUUCAUCCAUGUAUAAAUUGGGCUUAUACCAGAAUGACUUAAAAGGAACACUUCCACCAGAUUUCGGUGUCAACUUCCCUCAGCUGGAACACUUUUCCUUGUCAGGGAACAGAUUUUCAGGCCUGCUUCCGCCAUCAAUUACUAAUGCAUCUAAUCUCAUUAUAAUUGAUAUGGCCGAAAAUAAUAUUACCGGGCCUAUACCAAACAAUUUGGGUAGCCUUCCCAAUCUUCAACUUCUAGAUUUAGGUCUCAACCCACUUGGAAACUAUUUGGGCUCCGAUGACUUAAGCUUCUUCAAUUCUUUGGUCAAUUGUACCCAUCUAAAUGAAUUGGGAUUAUACGAUAAUGGUUUAACAGGGGAGCUCCCAAGCUGCAUUGUGAAUCUUUCCAUCAGUAUAGAGCAACUGUAUAUGUAUGAAAACUACAUAUACGGAAGCAUACCUCGCGAAAUUGGAAAACUUGUCAACAUGAAAGUAAUUUCAUUGUUUCGCAACUUAUUUACAGGGAGCAUCCCAGAAUCAAUUGGAGAGCUUGCAAAUUUAGGGAUUUUAGAUUUGCAAGAAAACAACAUAUCAGGAGUGAUUCCAACUUCCAUUAGCAACAUUACUCAUUUAAUUGAUCUGGCUUUAAGUCAUAAUAUGCUCCAAGGAAACGUUCCUGCUAAAUUGUUUAGAAUCUCCACGAUACAAUCAUUGUCCGUUGAUAACAACAGGCUCAUAGGUAUAAUACCUGAGGAAAUCAUGUUUUCUUCUGAAUGUAUUUUCCUUAUUUUGUCCAAAAAUUUGUUUACUGGGCCACUUCCAUCAAACAUUGGAAGCUUGAAGCAUUUGACUACACUAGACCUCUCAUACAACAGAUUAACAGGAGAUGUACCCGCCAAUCUUGCGGCCUGUGUGAUGCUAGAGAAACUGCAUAUGGAAGGAAACCAUUUUCAAGGUAAAAUUCCAUCUUCUUUUAAAGCUUUGAAAAGUCUUUCACUUCUAGAUCUUUCGAACAAUAAUAUCUCUGGGAGUAUUCCAAGCUUUUUUGACACGUUUCAUCUAAUUACGUUCCUGAACCUGUCACACAACAAGCUUGAAGGUGAAGUGUCCAAAGACGGUUUAUUUUCAAACAUUAGUGCUUUUUCAAUAAUUGGAAAUUUGGAGCUCUGUGGAGGUAUUCAAGCAUUGCAUUUGCAUUCUUGUCCAACAAAUGUUUUGAGGAAUAAGAAAAAAAUAUUUGGCCUGAGAAAAAUAUUACUCUUGGUUCUUUUACCUUUUGGUUUCUUGUUACUAUGUCUUGCCUUAAUUUGUUAUAGACGUCGAAAUUUCAAGAAGUUGAAAGACCUCAUCCCAGUAUUGAUGGACAACCAAUUUCCCCAACUUUCAUACCAAGAUCUUCUGCUUGCUACAAAUGAGUUUUCUCCAGAUAAUAUGCUCGGUAGAGGAAGAUAUGGUUCAGUUUACAAAGGAGUUCUCAAAGCAAUGGAGCAAAUAGUUGCUGUGAAGGUACUAAACGUUGAAAUACAUCGAGCAAAGAAAACUUUUUUGGCAGAGUGUCAAACAUUGAGAGAGAUUCGACACCGGAAUCUUAUCAAGAUCAUUACAGCAUACUCUACCAUUGAUUUUAAGGGCAAUGACUUCAAGGCAUUGGUUUUUGAGUACAUGGCUAAUGGGAGUGUGGACAACUGGUUGCAUCCAAGCCCUUCCCAUCAGCGGAAUGAAAGAAACUUGACUCUACUACAGAGAUUAAAUAUUUCCAUCGAUGUUGCAAUGGGAUUGGACUACCUACAUCAUCACAGCCAUGAAAGUAUCAUUCAUUGUGACAUAAAGCCAAGUAAUAUUCUUCUUGAUGAGGAUUUUGUUGCUCAUAUUGGGGAUUUCGGUUUCGCGAGGUUUUCUCAUGGUACCACAAGUGAUGUCAAUCAAACACAGACGAGUUCAACAAGUGUACAUGGAACAUUUGGAUAUGUUCCUCCAGGUGCGGCUUCUGAUGCCAAAUUUUUCAUUAAUAUUUAGAUUGGCUUUAUUGUAUAUAUGUAAAAUGUUAUUGCCAAACUCAUAAUCUUUAGUUUUGCAGAGUAUGGAAUAGGUGGAGAGGUAUCUACAAAGGGUGAUGUGUAUAGCUAUGGAAUUCUUCUACUAGAAAUUUUCUCAGGGAAAUGCCCUACUGAAAGCAGCAUAUUAAAAGACGGUUAUAGUAAUCUUCAUAAUUAUGUGAGGGCAGCACUCCCACGAAGAGUGAUGGAUAUUGCUGAUCCGCAGAUUGUACUUGAUCAAGAAGAACAUGGCUUGACUGUAAAUCAAUCAUACAGCAGGGCUUCCAUGAAAGUAUGCCUCACAUCAAUAUUUGAAGUAGGGAUAUUAUGCUCUGAAGAGUUGCCACAAAAACGCAUAGACAUUAAUGUUGCUAUUAAGAGAUUACAGGCAGCACAAGACACAGUUCUGCAGCACAGGCAGUAAGUUGGGUGAGAGUGGAAAUCUCUAUACUUUCUAAAUAAAGGGAUCUAUAUGUUGAUCCUGAUGUGAAAAUAAAGACUUUGUACCUAUUUAUUUCCCAUAUUAACAGAUUACAUGCGGCAGAAGACACAACUCUGCAGCGCAGGCAGUAAGAUGGAUGAGAGUGGCAAUCUCUAUACUUAAUAAAUAAAGGCAUCUCGAUAUAUAUGAUUCUAAUGUGACAAGAAAUAAUUUUUACCUAUGUAUUUCCCAUAUUUCUAACCUUUUAUGUUUGUAAGCAAGGCUUCAGCCUUGCUUAUUAUAUUAUUAUUAGGUUUUCUUGUUAUUAUGCGAGCACAUUAAGUAUCAUUCAAAUUCACAUAACGUGAAUUUAAUUAUGCAAAUGUAACAACAGAUCGCAUGCAAGGAUGAUUGACUGCUCUCACAAAACCAAGGAAAAAGAUGGAUUAUGUGUUUUUUUGUACAUGUACUUAUCAGAACACUAGAAUGAAUGUUUCAAAGUUACUAAGUGCGUGCUUCUGAUUUUCACAUAUGAUUUGGAUUAUCACUGGUACAUUCUAAGUAGCUAGCUAACUUUGUUUGGGAUGUUUGAGGGAAAAGUAUGGGAUAUUAUGAAAAAGAUAGAAGUACUAUGAACAGAGCCGUUAACUGACUGAUUGCUUUGUUCAUGCCAUUACAUGCUCUAAAUUUAUUAAUCUGUAGUAUGGAUCUUUCCUGUUUCCUAGAUAAUAGGAAUCAGUUCAUUUCUAUAUCAUCUUUUUUUAUUAUGUAAAACUAAUAUUUGGUCGCAUUUUCUAUGGUGGAUAGUUGAUACACCACAACAUAGUGUUCCAUCUUGCAUCAGCCUGUUGAAAUCUGUUUUAACUUUACAAAUCAGACUCCAAAUUAAAAAUAUUAUUGGAUGAUAUAACAACUACUGUUCAUUUCAUUUUUUUGUCCAGAAUAUUCACUCUUUAGUGACAACGGUGGUAAAUCUUAGGAUAUAUAUUUGUGAUUAUUAUGAGCUUUACCAGGUAUUUACCUUAGUUGUAAACUUGUGAUCAUUUUAAAUGCUUGUCCGCCUUCCCUGGAUCAUCCCUGAAGUCAGUCAGAAAAGGCCAAGGAGAGAACCGCAAGCCUGAAGUAGCAAAAAUGGGACUUGGAUCAUCCGCAGCCAUGACAACUGCAUUGCUUCAUGACGUUGGGAUGUUAACCUUUCCACAUCAAACGAAGAUCAACACUUCAAAAUGAAGUACAAUUCAUAACUUGAUGUGGUAUAAUUGAUAAGUGGUAAGGGGUUUUUAUGUCAGUUCUGCAAUUAUGGAAGCCAGCGUGCAUCUGAUUUUCGCCUGAAGUUCUUUCUGGAGGGAAGUCCUUUCUAAGCCUCUAUCCCUGUGAAAGUAACUAAGCCAGCCUCUAUCCCUGUGAAAGUAAUGUAAGAUUUGGUACCUGGUUAAUAAGUGCAGAUAAGAAUGUAUAACAUGGAAGUGAAUAGUUGUACACACAUUAUCUACUGAUAACUUUCAGUGUCUUAAUGUUUUGAUAUUAGACUAUAUACUACACAUACACUGAAUCUUAUGCUUGAGGCCAUAGGUAACUCUACAGUUUUUUUUAUUUACUUUUCUGCUGUUAUUUUAAUUGAGUUUUCUGCUGUUUUAUGUGCUAUUCAGAUCUAUUUUUUUCCUGUUUUCUGCAUAUUUUUCUUGCUGUUUUUGUUCAGUUUUCUGUAGAAUUUUAUCCAAUAUUCUGUGCUAUUUUAGUAUUGCUUCUGCAGGUUUUUGUUCACCAGUUUUGUGUCCUGUUUUCUGCAUUAGUUUGCUGCUGUUUUUGUUCGAUAAUCUGUAGAAUUUCCAGCUUUCUGUGCUGCUCUGGUCCAUUUUCUGUACAGUUUUUUUUUUCGAGUUUUCUGCAGUUUCAUGUGCUAUUCAAUUCUAUUUCGUGUCCUGUUUUCUACACUGGUUUGCUGCUGUUUAAGUCCAUUUCCUGCAGGUUGUUUAUCCAGUUUUUUUUGCAGGUUUAUUUAGGCAGUUUUUGUUCAAUAAUCUGCAGAUUUGCCUUGUUUCUGCAUAAUUGUCUUUGAGCAGAAUUUCUGCAGAAUCUGUGGCAAACUUUUCCUGCAGUUUUUGUGCAGAAUUGUGGCAUAUUUGAGCAGAAUUUCAUUGUUUAUUGUUUCUUAUUUCAGGAAAAACUCCAAAAUUUAAGUUUGUGAUUGACAAAGCAAAGGCUCUGACCAUUUUUAUCUAUGCGCACCAUAAGACCUUGGCCUUGACGAGAAAGUAUACUAAUAAAAGAGAUAUUGUGAGGCCGGGAAAAACACGAUUUGCAAGUUCUUUUCUUACGAUGCAAAGUAUAUUGGAGAAAAAAGAAAAGCUAAAAUUUAUGUUUCUCUCGGAGGAAUGGGGUCAGUGCAAAUUCUUAACUAGUGCAAAAGGUGUGGCUUCUUAUGCAACAAUUGUUAAUCAAUCAUUUUGGACUAAUCUUGCAAUGUGUUUUGAGUUGUUCAAACCUUUAGUAAAGGUUUUAAGACUUGUUGACGGAGAUUGGCGUCCAUCCAUUGUUUUUGUAUAUGGUGAAUUCAAAGUUGCCAAGAAAGAAAUUAUUAAACUUUGUAAAGAUACAAAAGAGAUGUACGAGCCCAUUAUCCAAAUCAUAGACUCGAGGCUAAGGACCGACUUGAUAGUCAUUUACACUUAGCCGGCUCCUUGUUAAAUCCUUAUUCCUACUAUCGAGAUGACGAGGCACAAAAAGAUCCGGCAUGUACGACAGCUAUUUUAACAUGCAUUGAAGCAUUCUUCCCAGAUAAUUUCCAUUUCCAGCACCUGAUUUCUAAUAUUGAGUUGCUGAAAUAUAAAAGAAUAUUUGGAAAAAAAUUAGCCAAAAUAGGUAAUAAUGAUACUUUUGAUGUUGGUAAGUAAAUAUUUAUUCUCUUCUAAAUUUCUGAAUAUCUAUCUUAUUUGAUCUUUCACUAAUACUUUCAUAUCUCCUAUUUUAGUUGGAUAGUGGCCAAAUUACGGUGCUGAAACUCCAAAUUUGCAAAUGAUGGCCAUGAAGAUAUUUCCUCCGUCCCUUUUUAGUUGUCACAUUUCUAUUUUUGUUGGUCAAAUUGACUAAUUUUUUACAAAAGAUUAUAAGUCACUUUUAUAUUAUUUUAAAAACAUGAGAAUUACAUAUUAAAGUAGAUUAAAGAUUAUUUACAGCGACAUAUUUUUUUUAUUUUAUUAAUUGAUAAAAUAUUAAUAUAUUUCAAUAAAAUUUUGGUCAAUUUGACUGGUCAAAAGUCAAAUGUGACAACUAAAAAGGGAAGAAAGGAGUACUUUCUUUAAGUUCAAGUUCUUCGGGAUGUGAAAGAAAUUGGAGUACAUUUGAUGGAGUAAGUUGGUUGAAUGAUUUCAUAGAACUAAUUUAUUAUAUUAGUUUCUUAUAAUUAUAACUUACAAGGAUUAAUUGACUGCUCUCUUAUAUUAUUUUUACAGAUUCAUACCAAAACGAGGAAUGGAUUAGAUGAUGCAAGAAUGAGCCAUCUAGUAUAUGUGCAAUUUAAUUUAAAACUUUUUACCAAGGAAAAGAAAAUGAAAGAAAUAUAUGAUGUAUUAAUAGCUAAUGAUGUAUGACGGGGGUGAUGAUGAAGAAGAGCUUUCUCAGGAUUCUAACAUCACAAGUGAGGAGAUUGGUGAAGUAACUAGAAGGAUUAUGCGAGAACUUGAUGAAGAAGAUUUUGAAUCGAAAGAUGAAGCUAAUGACAACGAAAUCUCACAUUUGAUUUUGAUGAUUGUGAUCAACAGAGAUGGUGAAAGAUUGUUGUGUCUCUUGACUGUAAAUGUAGCUUGAACAUACGUAAUAUUUGUUCUUUGAAGUACAUUUGACUUUGUAAACAAAGAUAUCAUGGCUUUUAGGUUUUACUCAUGUCCUAAAAGGCGAGUAGAACAGUUACUAUAACUGUAUUUCAUUGCUUACAGAUCAUUCAGAGAGCUGGUUUUACAUACACAUCUACAAUCACCCAAUGAAGCUACUAAGAUGCAGUGUCAUUGUCUUAUAUAUUCAGAGCCAAUGCAGUAUUCAACUUAUGCCGUGGCCCUGAUUCAACAUUUGUUUUCUUCACAUGCCAGAGGCCAGAGGUGUCAUAAUCUAUGCCAGCCAGCGGUGUCACAAUUCAAAAAAGUUCUUGCAGAAGAGCUUUUAACACAACAAGUGAUCAAAGAAGCCAGCACAAGAUUAAAGAAAAUAUAUUGCCAAAGUUUUCAAAAUUAUGUGUGAAUAAAAUACUAAAAGCAGCAACUUCAAACAUGAUUGGAGAUAUCAGUAAUCAUAGAUUACAUGUAAGACAGACAUUAGUAGUCUAAACAAAAUACUUGAGAGGUACAGAUUAUUGGACAUCUUUUCAAAAAUCAAACUAAAAUUAACUACUCCAAAGCAGCUACUCCUGGUUUUGGCGGAUCGACCAUAAAGAUAUCAAGAAGUUCAUCAACUGAUGUAUACUUGUAAUCUGGAUAAAGCUCGACUGCAUCCAGAUCAUCCUCUUUCAGUUCAUAAUUCAUCUGUUCACCUUUUACGAAGAUGCUAUGAACUAUGGAGUUCCCAACAGCAUUCUCUGAUGGAAAUGCUGCCAAUUCAAAAUUUUAGUUGCUUAAUGUUUUAGGCACUCUUAUAAAUCUGCAAUUUUACAUGGAAAAAGUUGGAAAUCAAGAAAAGUAAGUUUAUCAAAUUAAUUGGUGUGUAGCCUCUUACAUUGAGAGAGCUUGAUAAUCUCUUCCUCGGGAAUGUAGGUCUUUUCCAUAGUACGUUCAGUUUUCUUCUCCCAUCUUGAAAUCAAAUCUAGUUGAGUAAUUAUAUUUUUGGGAAGCCUGUAGAUAACUAGACCAUUUUCUGUUCGCGGAUCUGUUGCGACUCUCACUGUGUAUUCAGCUAUGUCUUUUUCGUAGUUGCACACAACUACAAUUAAAAUUUUAAGGAGAUAAUUGGUUGAUCACAAAAAGCAUAAAUUAGCAAGUCUCCAUUAAUCAAAGCUUGAAACCUUCACUAGCCAACAAUAUAAGAAAAGAAAGUUUGCGACGUAUAAAGUCCUUACAUUCUGAAAAACAGAGUAAAGACCUACACUUGGCUUCCCCAGUGCCAUAGAUAGUAACUUUCUGGGACUUUUCAUCGUAAGGACGAAGCAAGAAAUUGACAAAAUAGGCUCCAAAUGUGUUGGCGGAAACAAAAGUAUAUGGUAUCCCAGAUUCUUCAGCUGCCCUUCUCACCGCUUUCUUCUUGUCGCAGCAUUCUUGAAAUGGUGGAAGUGGACUAAUUCUAUCCACCUCAUUCCCAAAUUCUGAAGGAAUAAAUCUCUGAUCCGCGCAAAUUGGAGAGAGAGAAAGACCAUUAUAUAUGUAGCUAAUGAAAUCUAUGAUAUUGCAAAGCACAUUGAUAUAUGAGUUCAAUUAUCACCUUUAUGUUACCAGCUUCUUCCAUGGCUCUUAUUAUUUUGAGUUGUUCAAGGUAUGAAGGUACUCCGAAUGUCACGAUUACAAUAUCCACCCGACGAAGCACCUCAACAAGCUUGUCAUGUUCAUUCACUUCUCCCUGUUCAUAUACGUGUUACUUCUGGAUUUAACUAGCCAAGCCUUCCCAUGAUAAAUUAAUAUAACAUUACUAUCAUAAUGGUACAAAUUAAGAAGAAUGUUCUAGUCGGGGAUAUAUACAUGGUUACCUGCAUGCAUCUCUAUAUACCUGGAAAAUGGUGACUCCCAUGGAUUGAAAUUCCUCAAGGAGGUUGAGCUUAUUGGAAUCGUGCUGGGGUUUCACGGGUCGAACAUAAACAAAUGUGGGAUGACCAGCUGAAGCGCUUGCCUUUACCAAGUACGUACCUAAGUAUCCAGUCCCUCCAAAUAUCAGUAUCUUACUCUUACUCAUUCUGUCUUGUUUGCAAAACUUAUAACUAAUGCUCAAUCUGAGCACAGCUGCUGCAUGUGGAUGUAUAUUUAUAGCAGCUGUUUGAUGUUAAAGGAUUAUCAUUCUGUGCCUCUCAAAUAAGUUACAUGCAUGAUUUCCGUGUUCAAAACUGAAGUUGAUUGCUGCCAAAAGUUUGUUCGUGCUGGACGUCUGGACCACAUUCCAACUUACUUGCGGUGUCAGGGUGUUUGGUUCAAUGUUAAUGAGUCUAAUAAACAGGAAUCAGAAAAUCAAACCCACGUGUUGUUUGAAUUAGCAAGAUCGGAAUGUGAACCACAUUACCAUUUCAUAGGUAAAUCAUGCAUUCGACACCUCUUGGGAAACCAUCUUAUAUCCUUCAUUCUUAUACCGCUCAUUGUCAGUCUCAAUUUCCAUUUCAGUCUACCGUCCAAACCGCCUCUUAUAUUUUUACUGUUAUAUCCGAAAUUUAUAGAUACUACGUAAAAUAAUUAAUCACAAAAUCAUGGGGCUAAUUGUUGGUGCGUGCUUGAUGACUGUGGCUGACGUGAAGGUGCUUGACAUCACAGAAGGGUGACAAGACGGGACGUGUGCACGUGACGGCAUGCCGAUUGUUUGAAUUCGCGGAGAACGAGUCAAAGGCGGAAGAUAAGCAUUGAGGUGGUCAUAUGCGGAUAAGUAGGAGAGAUAAGUUACAGCUGCACGUGGAGCAUUAGUAGGAGUAGUAGUUACAAUAUGACUUGUAUAAAUAGGGCUUAGAUUCAAGCUGUAAAGGGCAAGCAAUAAGCAGCCUCAUAUCAAAAACAUUGUACGCAAAUUAUCUACAUAGUGAAACACAUAUUUGGCAGGGCAUCGACCCUCCCGCGGUUUUUUCCUCUUCGGGGGUUUUCCGCGUAACCAAUCUUUGUCUCGUUACUUGUUCAUUUUAUUCUUAGUUUAAUUCUUUAGCAUUUAACCCCGCAAAAUCUUGCACGAACAAUUGGCGCCGUCUGUGGGAAACUUGCUAAAGAUUCUACGAGGAAACACAUGACGAUGGCUGAUCAACAACAACACGGCUCUACGAGCCAGGGAGACAAUCCCACAAUACAACAGCUGAUGGAGACAAUCCGCAAGAUGCAGGAUGAUAUGAGUUCACAACAGGAGGCUUGGAGGACCGAGAGGGAGACACUACAGAAAGAACUUACGACGGCCAGGUCGAAGUCUAAUCCUACGUCAAGGGGAGUCUUGAACAGUGUCGCCAGGCGUUUGAACAUGGACGAUGAAGAGGAAGAGGAGUACGACGAAGAGAUUGAGGUGGAGAACCCUGAACAAGAGGUCCCAACCGCCAAUAACGCCGGUGAGAAUUUAAACGGCUCUAGACGACAAAGCGAAGGCAAGGGAGGCGACAAGGGAAACAAGAAGAAGAAGAAGACAGACAGCAAGUCCUCCAAGUCACGAAGCCACGACACGAUGCGAAAGGAAUUACAAGCUCUGAAGGACUUGGUGCAGCGCAUUCCGGGAGUACCAAAGCCCCUAGAAAAAGCCACACCCCUGAGCUACGCAGACUCGCCAUUCUGUGACAGCAUAGCUAUGGUCGAGACCCCGAAGCGCUUCGCAGUACCAGCCAUGAAGGCCUAUGACGGCACGACUGACCCACAGGAACACGUCGCGCAGUACAAACAAAGAAUGUUCACUGUGCCUAUCACGAAGGAACUCAGAGAAGCAUGCAUGUGCAAGGGCUUCGGCUCAACACUCACAGGACCAGCCCUACAGUGGUACGUAAGUCUGCCCAACGGGAGUAUUGAGACAUUUGCUGAUCUGGUAGACGCCUUCAACCUCCAGUUCGCAAGCAGUCGAGUGUUCGAGAAAACUACAAGUGACUUAUACAAGAUCGUUCAGAGGUACAGGGAGCCGUUGAGAGAUUACUUGACAAGAUUCAACAAAGAAAAGGUGACGAUCAUGAAUUGCGACAUCCCGACGGCCAUAGAGGCCUUCAGACGUGGACUGAAGAGGGAUUCACCGAUGUAUGAUGAGCUGACGAAGUACCCCUGUAAGACGAUGGAGGACGUGCAGGCCAAGGCUAUGGCACAUGUAAGAUUGGAGGAAGACGGCGAGGAGUAGUACCGUCCAAGUAGUAAGAUCACGACGGCCAGAAUAAGAGAUUACAAACCAUACGACAGGACAUCAUCUAGUGUUGAAAGCGGUUCAAAACACCAUGGACGCGACAACAACUGACACCUACAAAGGCCCUGACCUUAUAGACGUAGUGGUUGGUCAUGGAGCUUAUCAAUUGUCUACAAUAGACUGGUCGCAAGUACCAGGGACCUGGAAUGCUUUUCAUUUGAAGGCAUAUCACGUGUAAUGUUCCUUGCUAUCUUUUCCUCUUUAUGUCGUGUUUCAGUAAGUAAGUUAGGAGAAUUGUCUUUGCUUGGCCUUUCGCCACCUAGGAUUUGCUUGAUGUGUGCUAUAACUACCAUGCUCCGGUUGGUUUUGAUUAAUAAGAUAUGCUCGUACCUUCGCCCAUGAAGACUUAUAUGCUUGCAUGAUGUUCGCGUGUCCAUACUCUUCUGCCAUCUAUGUGUUAUAUUUAUGUUUAUGUGUUUACCUUCUUGGAUAAUUUAUACUUUUGUAAAAUUAAAUUGCUUCUACAUAAAAAUCUAAAGGGCUGAUCACCCAUCCUACUACGGUUGAACAUUAACGAAAGAUGAUGACGACAAUACUACACAUUACACAAAUAACUGACGACGCCACGAAAAAUGAUGCAUUUAAACAUUAUGUACUUAAACAUUACAUAAUCACAAUUACAAUUACGAGCUAAGUUUCAAGAGGGAAAGGCCUUUUAACUAGCCUACGAAUGCAUGCAUCGACGUUUGAAAAUAAAUAUAUUUGUCAACUACAAUUACGCAUAUUACAAGUUGAAAUACAUCGACAUAUUUAACAUACAUGUCGACGAAAGCUCUACGAAAUUACACAUGUCAUGACCCUUGGUCGGACACAUGAACUACAACAUACAUUCUUACAUGUCAUCACUUACACGUGUCGCGACAUAUUGCAUCGACCACAUGUCAUACGUUAUAAUUACAAGUGACAUAUUAAUUUACAAACAUAUCACGUUAUGAUGACAAGAUACAUUUCAUGUCUACAAGUUACAUGUUACGGAUGGAAGACAUGUUUCAAAGUACUUUACGUGUUGGUACUCCUAUUCAUUGCGUCACAAUCACUCCAAAUUCAGGGGUCACAUGAAACAAAUUCAAGUCACGGACACAUAGAAAUACGCAGCCGACAAUCACAAGAUUAUAUACAACAUCUUGUAUAUGUCAGAAUUAUCUAUAAGGGGCUUUACAAAUAUAAUGCAAAACAACGUCACAACUUAAUUGACAUGUUGAUACCAUGGGGCUGUCCGACGGGUUGGCUGAGUUAAAAAAAAAACACGUUGCUCAACACACAUAAUGGACGUCUACAAUAAUCGUUCUACACACAUUAUGAAAGCCAUCUACGAGUAAAGAUUUCGGAAUUACAUCGACACGUCCAACAUUACAACAUUUCAUGAGACUGCCUGACAAGUUGAUCAACUUGUCCAUAUAUGGUCGACGCCUUCAAUCUACAACACGUGAUGGUUUGAGAAGAUGACAACUUACAUGUAUCACAUCGUUCAGAGGUGCACAAAAACUUUGAGAGGUAUUUGUCAACAUGACCUCAAGCGAACGGGCAAACAGAGUCAAGCAACAAGAUCAUCAUUAAUAAAUCUAUAGAGGGGGCUGACGACAUGUAAGGGACGUUGAGCUAAGGAAUUUCCAUGGGUCUUGUGGUCCGACGAGACAAUACUGAAGAUGUCGACGGGACAGACAUAUAGUCUUGUCUAUGAAACUGAAGGUGUCCUGACGCCAGAAGUCAUGACACCGACGACAAGAUAUGGGCUGCAAAGAUAUGACGAUGCACUAGCACAUGACAUUGACGUUGUGGGUUAACUAAGAGAAAUGGAGAAGAUACAGAAAGAGUCAUAGUGACAGAGGGUAGCAAACGCUUACAACAAACAUGUUCGUGUCAAGACAUUUACCAUUGACGACUUGGUCUUGCGGGAGGUAUUUCAGAAUACUAUGGACAUGACGACCGACAAGUUUGCUGACACAUGUGAGAGGUCCUACCUUGUUGACGCUGUAGUUGGACCCGGAGCAUAUCAGUUGUCAACCUUGGACGGAAUUCAGAUACACACGCUAACGUCAAACAAGGAAACGCUUCGUAUGAUUUGGAGAGAUUUUAUUAAUUAAACAAAUUAAUUAAUAAAAUCUGGGGCUAUUGUUAUAUCCGAAAUUUAUAGAUACUACGUAAAAUAAUUAAUCACAAAAUCAUGGGGCUAAUUGUUGGUGCGUGCUUGAUGACUGUGGCUGACGUGAAGGUGCUUGACAUCACAGAAGGGUGACAAGACGGGACGUGUGCACGUGACGGCAUGCCGAUUGUUUGAAUUCGCGGAGAACGAGUCAAAGGCGGAAGAUAAGCAUUGAGGUGGUCAUAUGCGGAUAAGUAGGAGAGAUAAGUUACAGCUGCACGUGGAGCAUUAGUAGGAGUAGUAGUUACAAUAUGACUUGUAUAAAUAGGGCUUAGAUUCAAGCUGUAAAGGGCAAGCAAUAAGCAGCCUCAUAUCAAAAACAUUGUACGCAAAUUAUCUACAUAGUGAAACACAUAUUUGGCAGGGCAUCGACCCUCCCGCGGUUUUUUCCUCUUCGGGGGUUUUCCGCGUAACCAAUCUUUGUCUCGUUACUUGUUCAUUUUAUUCUUAGUUUAAUUCUUUAGCAUUUAACCCCGCAAAAUCUUGCACGAACAGUUACUCGAAAUGGCUUUAGGAUUUGCAUGCAUUCUGCAUGUGUUGGUGAUAUUUUGUAAUUCUGUCAACAAUAUUAUAGUGACAGACACCAAACAGUAGAAUGGUUCCAAGCCCGCCCGCACAUGUAAGAUUGUUAGGCGAUAGUAGUGGGGCGCGUCCUAGAAUGUAAUGCAACAUGAGACCUCAUGGGUUUAUGUAAUCCAAUCACAGGAAACUGUUGCUUUAGAUAUGUUAGAAAUGUCUCCUCGUAUUCUACCUAAUACUGUACGGUCACGAGCUUCGAUUCGUACUAAAAGCCAAGUCAGUGUGAAAGUGGUAGAAUGUUUCAUUGAAAGAGCUUGAUCGAGUAUGACUGACUACUGAGGAUCGAGGAGAGGUGUCUUACUUGACUGUCUAUAAAUCGAGAUAACCCACAAGGUCGCCAGUUUCUCCGGCCAUUUAAAUUUGUCCAAUCAGAGAGAAAAAUAGAUCACACGUAUAACCUUCUGUUCUAGUGAUAAUAUUUCUAUAAAAAUUAGAGACCAUUAUCAUUUUAAACUUAACAAGAUUGAAAAAGAUGUAAGAUGAGAAUAAGUGUACAUAUGUUGAUCGAGUAAAAAUCAUAUUAGAACUGUUUGUAAAUUAUAUUUAUAAAUUAAACUUAGUAAGAAUAUUUGCAUUUUAAGAAUAAAAAUUGUUAUACUAAAAAUUAUAUAUAAACAAUUAAAUUAUUUGUGUAUAAUCUGUAAUAUCCGGGAUUUCGGCAUGUAUUCAUUUAUACCAGUAUGUAGAUAUUUUGUGAAUAUUAUGUGAAUUAAUUGUGAAUUAUAUAUUAAGUGACUUGCUGUAUGAUCGUCUAUGUGUGUUAUGACUUGUGAGUUGAUAAUUUUUAUAUGAUCAGAUCAAAAUAUGGAGAAUUUAGGCACUCAUUUGGCAAAUUAUGGAUUAUUACAUGAUUUGAUAUUUGAUUUAAGGGUUUAAUUAAGUAUAUUAUAAGAUAUUAUUAUUAAAUUGAUUUUAAACCCGUUUACUCGAUAAUUAAACCCCGGGGGGCUUCCGGGAAAAUUUUGCCGGUUUGUUAUUUGAGAUAUUCUGAACAACUUUCGUGUUUUAACUUUUCCCAUCUGGUGUACGGAUUUACGUGAAAGAGUUUCGGAACGAUUUUAUGAAUAUUUUAUUAUUAUCGAUAAACGUGUACGCCGGAUAUUUUUAACCCCACAUUAUUUUGACUAAAGCAUUAUAUUUCUCGUACUUCGUGCCAGACAAAGCUCGGAGCCCCAUACGUUUCUCGUAAUGUGUGUAUUUGAUAAUUAUCUUUAAAGUCGGUCCCGAACGGAUCAAUUUUAUUAAUACUUAAUGAUUAAGAAGUGUAUUUUAUAUCCGAUAUGAUCCAAAUGGGGGCCAGUUAUUCGUAAUUAUAAAUAGGAUAAUUACUAUUUUAUUUUUCAUAAUUAUCAUUUCAAUACACGAGAAUCGAGAGAAACUAGUUAUUCGUUCUUCGCGUUCUUGAAGUUCAAUCGAAGGUUUGAAGGCGUUAUCGAUCUCAGAAUCAAGCAUACAAGUAGUCCAAACGAAGGUAUCGACGCGUAGAAUCCAUAUCAAGUCUCAAAAACAGGUAGAGAUUCACCGUUGGGGAGUAAUUUGAGUUUGAAAUUUCGUAUGAAUUAGGGUUUAAUUAGGGCUUUUUGAUUUUGAUGUGGUUUAUGUGAUUUUAUGCUUCCAUGUUGUAGAUAAUCUUCUCCUGAUCAUUUUGGUAUAUCAUAUGCAUGAUUUGGAGUUCAAUAACAUGUUCAAAAUUGAGUUUAAUUGUUCGAAUUAGAAAUUAGGGUUUAUAGCCGUUUGAAUGUUUUCAAUUGAAAAUUAGGGCUUUUUAAUCCGGGAGGUAGAAGUGAAAUUGGAGGAUACCAUCAUGUUUGUCAUGUCUCCAGGAGUGUGUACAUAUGUUUAAAUUGUACCUGAGGUUCAGGAAUUGGACGAAUUGACGAGAAGAAAACUCGCCGGAGACGGCGAGUUUCUUCAAGUCUUUCCGGCCAAUUUCUGGCUGGGUUGGUUGAAUUGAAGUGAUGUACAGGUUUUAAAUGAUGCUGGGAUUAAUUCUGGAGAGUUGUGUGGCCAAAGGAGGCCGGAAACGCCCCCUCCGGCGAACGGAGGCGAUGGCGGUGCCAAAUUACAGUUUGGCACCCCAUCGUUUGGAGAUGAUGAAGAUUCAGCACUGUAGUUUCAAUUUUAACACCGUGAACCCUGUAGUUUUAAAACUUGCAAUUCAGACCCUCAAGUUUUCCAAACUUGCAGUUUGAACCUUGAAGUUUCAAAAACUUUUAAAAACAGUUUUAUUUAAUUUAUUUUUAUUUCGAAAAUCGUUUAUUUAUUUUCAAAAAUAGUUUUUAAUUAUUUCUUUAUUCAAAAACAAAUCUAAUUUAAUUUAUCAAUUAAUUUUAAUUAGUAAUUAAUUAUUAUAAUUAGUCAAUUAAUUUGAAUAUUAAUUGAUUAAUUGUUUUAAUUAUUUAUUAAUUGAUUUUAAUUGAUUUAUUAAUUAGAUUUAAUUGUUUUAAUUGUUUUAAAAAUCCAGAAAAAUAGUUUCAAGCUUUAGAAAAUUAUUCUAAAGUAUGUUGAAGGUUUGUUAAUCGAUUUCAAGUGAUUUCGAACCUUAUUUCGAAUAUUUGAACUUGUUUAUUCAAUUAUAACUUGAUUCUUUUACCCGUUUUUAUUCCGAAAAAUGUUUGAGAAUUCAUAAUAAAUACCAGAAAAAUCAUUUUAACCUCAAACCUUUUCUGAAAAGCUAUUUCAUUGAUUCUCUUAUGUGUUAGGUGCUAUGUGUUACUUGAUUGAGAUGUGAAAUGCUUAUGUGAACGUUAUAUGACUGUUUUAAUCGUAUCUUUUGAACCGUAAGUCGGAUUUAAGUGAAACGAAGGGUAGAUAGAAGCUUGUUUCGAUUAUGAAACAAAUAGAAUGAUAUGAGAUUGAGUAUUGAUAGAUGAAUAUUGUGAUUAUCAGAGAAGGACAGGCUUAGGAAAGGAAAGCAAGUAGUAUUGGAGUGAUUCUGUUUAGUGAAAGCUAUAAAGAGAAGUAAAUCUUCCAGAUAAGGCAAGUGCUCUAUUCUCAACUUAUACUUCUGUAAACUCCUUGAGUUACUCUUCUGCAUAUAAUGUCAUUGUUCUGGAUAGAUUUGAAAGUACUUCUGUUGAUAUAUUGUGCUAUUGAUCCUGAUUAUUGAUAAACCUUAUUCAAUCCUUUCAACACCUGAAUUACAAGCUGAACCUUGAUUUUGAUUUCAAUUAAACUUAUACCCAUUUCUUUGAGACUGUCAAUUGAACUUGAACCCAUUUCUUUGAGACUUGGAAACACAAAUCAUUUGCUUUGAUAUUCUGCCAUCCUUGCAUGACCAAACAGUACAAGCCUAUAUGUUACAAUACUUCACCAAAUUAUACAAUGUCUUACCAAACACCUAUAUUACUCUUUCGAAGAAUGUUCACACAUAUACACCCUAACACUUGAAUUUCCUUCAAGAUAAACAUAAUUGGAACCUUAAGUCAAUCUCAAUUGCAUUAUUUCUUCUACAAACACCAGAUUGUUUUCACCAUAUACUUAAUCUUUCUUUCGACUUCAAGCCAUUCUUCGAACAUAUUGUGAUGAUACUUGAACCUAAUUCUGAAUUGUCUUUUAAUCUUGAUAAAUAUUGCAACCCUCGUUAUAAUGAUUCUGAUUUAACGAUUAUGAUUCUGUUUUGGUAAUAUUGCUUCUGUUCAAAUGGUAUUGAUUCUGAUUUAUUGAGAUAUUGUUGAUUUCAUUAUAUUGUUAAAGAAUUGGAUUGUUUUAUAAAUGUGGACCAGAUUCGUGGUCAGACCAGAUUCGUGGUCAUUAGGCCAAUGUGUGCCUUGGAUCCAGUGAUAGAGCUUGGUAUGUACCUGGCUCGGGGUUAGUGCGUGACUGAUCAGCAGCCUAACCUUGGUUUUUAAAUAAAAAUAUGAAUAUCCAAUUCUAAUCAUUGUUUUAAAAAGGGAACUUGAUGCCUUGAUUCAUUCUUAUUGAUAAAUGUUGAACUUCAGUUUAUUGUUUAUAUUACUUGCUGAGCUGUAAGCUCACUCUUGCGAUGCCUUAUGUUCUUUUCCAGUGAAGAAAGAGACUACUGUUAGCGAGGACCCACAGGCUAGCCAUCAAGCUAAGGUAUCAGGAUGAGUGUUGGGAAGCCUUGCUAGGAGUUGCUGAUAUUAUAAACUUUUGAGUAUCGUUGUGUGUAAGCACUACGUUUUAUGUUUGUAAGUUGUAAGAUAUGGAUUGGGAUUUGACGUAUUGUAAUAUGACUUAAGUUGUGGCUUGUUUCAUGCUAUAACCUGAAGCGAUCCGUGGAUGUUUAGGGUCAAUGCAUAUAUUAUUAUGGUUUACAGGUUUAUAUUGUUGUGUGAGCCCCCCAGGUCUAUGACCCGGAUUUGGAGGGUGUCACAGGUUGGUAUCAGAGCUACAGGUUAUGAGUCAAUGAAACAAGCCUAGAUUGUCGGGUUUGGGUAGAGGGAUUAAGAUUAGAAAUGAGUGAUAGGUAGAUAGAACGUUGAGAGGUGAGUAUUAGUGGAAAAUAGGCCCUUGUGCUAUCAGAGAUUCUUAUAUAUGUUCUGUUAUAUUGAUUUACAGAUAUUCACGAUGUCAGACCCUAUCAUUCCUCCAUAUCCCCAGUAUUCAGAGACUACAGUUAACGGACCCCCACCCCCUCAGAGACUUGAGCCUCACCCUCCUGUUUCACCCCCUUUAGAGGAUGUGUUGGCUGCAGCAGCAGUGGUUCCUCCCAGAGAUAUACCCUCGACUUCUUCUGCACCACCCCUUGUUCCUUAUCAUGAGUUUGAGGCGAUGAGUAUGGAGCGUCAGUAUCUACUCGGACAGGUUAGAGAGCUGGAGCGUAUCAUACAGAUGAUGGACACUGGGAGAGCUGAGCGAGCGCUGAGGUAUGAGAUUGUAGAUGUUAGGAUGAUGGCGAGGGCGAAGCUUGGUGCCGUAGCUGAAGAUCAGAGUACCUACAGUGAUUUAGUGGAGUGGGCCAUAUGGAUGAUGAAGGAGUUGGAUAAGCUUGGAGGUCCUACUUUUCCUUGGAGUUAGACGGUGGUAGUUACAGAGUGGAGGUACCAUGUAUAUUAGUGUGUAGUGUGUAGUGUGUGGUGGUAGGGUAGUGUCAGCCGAUUUUGACCUGAUAUAGACUAAGAUGUGCUGACCAGUGUGUAGGUUGCUGUUGUGUUUUACUUUUGACAAGCGCUUGCGCUGAUGUACCCCCAGCUCUUUAUAUAUAUUAGAACUUUUCUUUUUCAUACUGUCCUUUUACUUUAUUGCACCCGUUUUACUUACUUUACAUAUUACACUUGUUUUACAUACUGCACUUCAUAUAAACCCUGUGAUAUCAUUAUACCCUGUUUCUUUCAUUAUUGCUCUGUUCUGUGAAGAAGCAUGCGAUUUAUUUAAUUCAAUGAUCAAAAAUGUUUUCAAAAAGAAAUAUUCUGUUUUUCUAAAAACAAUUGCUAAAAGUUUUGAAGGUUAAAUAAACUGCUUGUUUCUUUACAGAGCUAUGCCUCCUAGAAGACAAACCCGUGCAACCAACCCUGAUGACAACAACAAUAACAACAAUCCAGAACCUACAAUGGCCCAGAUUCUUCAGAUCUUGGCCCAACAGACUGCCAACCUGUACUCANNNNNNNNNNNNNNNNNNNNNNNNNNNNNNNNNNNNNNNNNNNNNNNNNNNNNNNNAGUAGUUACAGAAUGGAGGUACAUGUAUAUUAGUGUGUCGUGUGUAGGGUGUGGUGGUAGUGUAGUGUCAGCCGAUUUUGACCUUAUAUAGACUAAGAUGUGCUGACCAGUGAGUAGGUUGCUGUUGUGUUUUACUUUUGGUGAAGCGUUUGCGCUGAUGUACCUUCAACUUUUCAUAUAUAUACCAGAACCUUUCCUUUUACAUAUUGUUCUUUACUUUAUUGCACCUGUUUUACUUACUUUGCAUAUCACACUUGUUUUACAUACUGCACUUCAUAUAAACCUUGUGAUAUCAUUAUACCCUGUUUCUUUCACUAUUGCUCUGUUCUGUGAAGAAGCAUGCGAUUUAUUUAAUUCAAUGAUCAAAAAUGUUUUCAAAAAGAAAUAUUCUGUUUUCUAAAAACAAUUGUUAAAAGUUUUGAAGGUUAAAUAAACUGCUUGUUUCUUUACAGAGCUAUGCCUCCUAGAAGACAAACCCGUGCAACCAACCCUGAUGAACGAAAACCAGAGCAUCAUGAGGGACAGUUUCAGCAGGGAAGGUUUCAGAACUUUAACCCGAAGAAAGGGAAAUUUCAGCAGGGGAGAAAUCCCACUUUUAAGAAGCCGGAUGUAGGUGGUAGUGGACAAGGUAACCGUCCAGCUAUUGGAAAUCAACCAAGGCCUCCACUGCCGGAGUGCCAGAUAUGUGGAAAGAGACACGGGGGAAUCUGUAAUAGAUUGAAUGUAGUGUGUUAUAAGUGUAAUCAGAAAGGACACUAUUCUAGGGAAUGUCAGAACCCACCAGCACGGACCCCAAUGAUUCGAGAUCAACCAGCAAGGAACCAACCCAAUAGAACUCCAGCAGCUGGGAUAACAUGUUUUAGGUGUGGAAAACCAGGACACAUGGUGAAGGAUUGCAAGGUACCAGCUCCAGGUAACCCUACACUUAGAAUUAUGGGAUCCACUCCAGUAGUCCCAGAAGUUCCCAAAGCCAGAACCUACAACAUGACUAUGAGGGAUGCAGUUCAGGAUGCAGAUGUGGUGGCAGGUACGCUUACUGUGAAUUCUUUAUGUGCCAAGGUUUUGAUUGAUUCUGGAGCUACUAGAUCGUUUAUUUCUGAGGAUUUUGUGCCUAAGUUGAAUUGUCCUAUAGAAUUGCUUAAUGAGGUUAUGAAUAUAGAGUUGGCUAAUCAGGAACGUGUCCCUGUUAGCCAAGUUUAUAGGAAUUGUGAAGUUGAGAUCUUAGGAAAUAAGUUUUGUGCCGACUUGAUACCUUUCAAGUUGGGAGAGUUUGAUGUUAUUUUAGGGAUGGAUUGGUUAUCGAAGCAUAACGCUCAAAUAGAUUGUUGUAAUAAGAAGGUAAUGUUAAGAGCACCGAAUGAGAAGACGGUAGUAUUUCGAGGGCAGAAACAGGUAAAGAAGUUUUUGACUAUGAUUCAAACGAAGAGAUUGUUGCGUCAAGGUUGUGAAGCUUAUAUAGCAUAUGUAACUGAUCAGAGUCGAGAGCUUGUGAAGCUUGAAGAUAUUCCUGUAGUAAACGAGUUCUCAGAUGUAUUUCCAGAUGAGUUACCCGGAUUACCUCCAGAUAGAGAAAUUGAAUUUGCAAUAGAUUUAGCACCUGGAACCGAACCAGUAUCUAAAGCCCCAUAUAGAAUGGCACCAGUAGAAAUGAAAGAAUUGGCAACCCAGUUACAAGAUUUGUUAGAGAAGGGAGUGAUUAGACCCAGUGUAUCCCCGUGGGGAGCACCAGUGUUGUUUGUGAAGAAGAAGGAUGGUAGUAUGAGGUUAUGUAUUGAUUACCGGGAACUUAAUAAGUUAACCAUUAAGAAUAGAUACCCAUUACCCCGUAUAGAUGAUUUGUUUGAUCAAUUGAAGGGAGCGAGAUGUUUUUCGAAGAUUGAUUUAAGAUCGGGAUACCAUCAGCUAAAGAUUAAACAAGAAGAUAUACCUAAAACAGCUUUUAGAACCCGAUAUGGUCACUAUGAGUUCUUAGUAAUGGCCUUUGGAUUAACCAAUGCCCCCGCAGCUUUUAUGGAUUUAAUGAACAGAGUCUUUAAACCAUAUUUGGAUAAAUUUGUGAUUGUAUUCAUAGAUGAUAUUUUGAUUUAUUCCAAAACCACUGAGGAUCAUGCAACCCACUUAAGGAUGGCUUUAGAGACAUUGAGAAGAGAGAAACUAUAUGCUAAGUUUUCAAAGUGUGAAUUCUGGUUACAAGAGGUUCAAUUUCUAGGUCAUAUAGUCAGUAAUGAAGGAAUCAAAGUAGAUCCCUCCAAGAUUGAGGCAAUUAUGAAUUGGGAAAGGCCAAGGACACCAACAGAAGUUAGAAGUUUCUUGGGUUUGGCAGGUUAUUAUAGAAGAUUUGUUCAAGAUUUCUCAAGGAUUGCUGUACCAAUGACGAGGCUUACCCGGAAAGAAGAAAAGUUCGUGUGGACUGAAAAGUGUGAAGAAAGUUUCCAAGAAUUAAAGAAAAGGUUAGUAUCAGCCCCAGUGUUAUCACUUCCAGAUGAGCAAGGGAAUUUUGUAAUUUAUAGUGAUGCUUCUCAUAAGGGAUUGGGUUGUGUGUUGAUGCAACAUGACAAAGUCAUUGCUUAUGCAUCCAGACAACUCAAACCCCAUGAGCAGAAGUAUCCUACACAUGAUUUAGAACUAGCAGCCAUAGUGUUUGCAUUGAAGAUUUGGAGACAUUAUUUAUAUGGAGAAAAGUGUGAAAUCUACACCGAUCAUAAGAGUCUGAAGUAUAUCUUUACACAGAAGGAGCUUAAUAUGAGGCAGAGAAGGUGGUUAGAAUUGAUAAAGGAUUAUGAUUGCACCAUCAAUUAUCACCCUGGAAAGGCCAAUGUAGUGGCAGAUGCUUUGAGCAGGAAAGAAAGACUGAAUGUGUUGACGUUACCUAAGGAAAUAUAUAGAGAAUUCGAAAAGCUGGAAAUAGAAGUUAGAGUGAGUGAACCCUCAGAAGCUGGAUUAUAUACAAUGAUUUUUCAACCAGAGUUACUAGAAAAGAUAAGGAAAUGUCAAGAGACCGUAAUGGAACAGGAUGUUAAUAAUUUAGUUGGGGAAGAACUUUGUACCCAGAAAGAUGAACAAGGUAUUCUAAGAUUUUCUUCUAGAAUAUGGAUUCCACCAGUACAGGAGUUGAAAGAUGAAGUUUUAAGUGAAGCACAUAGUUCCGUUUAUUCAAUUCACCCGGGGAGCACUAAGAUGUAUAGAGAUUUGAAGGAGAAUUAUUGGUGGCCAAAUAUGAAGAGAGAGAUUGCAGAGUGGGUAAAUAAAUGUUAUACGUGUCAAAGAGUGAAGGCAGAACACCAGCGACCGAGUGGAUUGUUACAACCCCUAGAAAUUCCAGAAUGGAAAUGGGAGCAUAUUGCGAUGGAUUUUAUAGUUGGAUUACCUAGAACGAGGGCAAAUCACGAUGCCAUAUGGGUUAUUGUAGAUAGACUAACUAAGUCAGCUCAUUUCCUUCCCAUUAACGAAAGAUUCUCAUUAGACAAGUUAGUCCAUAUGUAUCUGAAGGAGAUCGUCGUUCGUCACGGAGUUCCAGUCUCCAUUGUAUCCGAUCGAGAUCCACGAUUCAACUCGAGAUUCUGGAAGAGCUUUCAGGAAUGCUUGGGCACCAGAUUGAAUAUGAGCACUGCUUAUCAUCCACAAACUGAUGGUCAGAGUGAAAGGACUAUUCAAACAAUCGAGGAUAUGCUACGUGUCUGUGCUAUUGAUUUCAAAGGCAAUUGGGAUGAACAUCUACCGUUAGUGGAAUUCUCAUACAACAACAGUUAUCAUGCAAGCAUCGGAAUGCCUCCUUAUGAAGCUCUUUAUGGACGUAAAUGUCGUUCACCCGUAUGUUGGGAUGAAGUAGGAGAACGCAAAAUACUUGGGCCAGAGUUAGUCCAGCAGACGAAGGAAGUUACUGAAACCAUUCAAAGAAGAUUAAUUGCAGCGCAGAAUCGUCAGAGAAAGUACGCGGAUCAAGCCAGAAAGGAUAUGGAAUUUGAAGAAGGAGAACCUGCAUUACUGAAGAUUUCGCCAUGGAAAGGACUAUCCCGAUUUGGCAAGAAAGGAAAGCUAAGUCCCAGAUACGUCGGACCAUUCGAGAUCUUGAGGCGCGUUGGUAAAGUGGCUUACGAAUUAGCGUUACCCCCACAUAUGGAGCAUAUUCAUAAUGUCAUUCAUGUGUCAAUGCUUAAGAAGUAUCAUCCAGAUUCUAGGCAUGUGAUAGAAUACGAGCCAGUGGAAUUACAGGCAGAUUUGUCUUAUGUUGAGAGUCCAAUAGAGAUUCUAGAUAGAAAAGAGAAAGUAUUGAGAAACAAAGUGGUGAAAAUAGUGAGAGUAUUGUGGAGAAACCCAAAAGUUGAAGAGUCAACUUGGGAGUUAGAAAGUGAUAUGUGUGAGAAAUAUCCUCACUUGUUUUCUUAGCAGAUUCUGAGGACAGAAUCCUUUUAAGGGGGGAAGGAUGUAAUAUCCGGGAUUUCGACAUGUAUUUAUUUAUGCCAGUAUGCGAAUAUUUUGUGAAUAUUAUGUGAAUUAAUUGUGAAUUAUAUGUUAAGUGACUUGCUGUAUGAUCGUCUAUGUGUGUUAUGACUUGUGAGUUGAUAAUUUUUAUAUGAUCAGAUCAAAAUAUGGAGAAUUUAGGCACUCAUUUGGCAAAUUAUGGAUUAUUAUAUGAUUUGAUAUUUGAUUUAAGGAUUUAAUUAAGUAUAUUAUAAAAUAUUAUUAUUAAAUUGAUUUUAAACCCGUUUACUCGAUAAUUAAACCCCGGGGGGCUUCCGGGAAAGUUUCGCCGGUUUGUUAUUCGAGAUAUUCUGAACAACUUUCGUGUUUUAACUUUUCCCAUCUGGUGUACGGAUUUACGUGAAAGAUUUUCGGAACGAUUUUAUGAAUAUUUUAUUAUUAUUUUACCGUAUCGAUAAACGUGUACGCCGGAUAUUUUUAACCCCAAAUUAUUUUGGCUAAAGCAUUAUACUCUCGUAGUUCGCGCCAAUCAAAGCUCGGAGCCCCAUAAGUUUCUCGUAAUGUGUGUAUUUGAUAUUUAUCUUUAAAGUCGGUUCCGAACGGAUCAGUUUUAUUAAUAUUUAAUGAUUAAGAAGUGUAUUUUAUGUCCGGUAUGAUCCAAAUGGGGGCCAGUUAUUCGUAAUUAUAAAUAGGAUAAUUACUAUUUUAUUUUUCAUAAUUAUCAUUUCAAUACACGAGAAUCGAGAGAAACUAGUUAUUCGUUCUUCGCGUUCUUGAAGUUCAAUCGAAGGUUUGAAGGCGUUAUCGAUCUCAGAAUCAAGCAUACAAGUAGUCCAAACGAAGGUAUCGACGCGUAGAAUCCAUAUCAAGUCUCAAAAACAGGUAGAGAUUCACCGUUGGGGAGUAAUUUGAGUUUGAAAUUUCGUAUGAAUUAGGGUUUAAUUAGGGCUUUUUGAUUUUGAUGUGGUUUAUGUGAUUUUAUGCUUCCAUGUUGUAGAUAAUCUUCUCCUGAUCAUUUUGGUAUAUCAUAUGCAUGAUUUGGAGUUCAAUAACAUGUUCAAAAUUGAGUUUAAUUGUUCGAAUUAGAAAUUAGGGUUUAUAGCCGUUUGAAUGUUUUCAAUUGAAAAUUAGGGCUUUUUAAUCCAGGAGGUAGAAGUGAAAUUGGAUGAUACCAUCAUGUUUAUCAUGUUCCCAGGAGUGUGUACAUGCCUUCAAAUGUUAUCAGAGGUUCCAGAAUCGGCCGAAUCGACGAGAAGAAGUUUCGCCGGCGACGGCGAACUUCCUCGAGUUUUUCCGGCCAAUUCACGAACCUCCAGCUCGAUUUGAUGAUUGAUAUAGAUUCCUGGUGAGUUGUAGAUGUUAUCUGCACCUUGGGGUGGCCGUCUACGGCCUGGAACGCCGUCUCCGGCGUCGGGACGGCGAGAACUGUAAAAAUUACAGUUCAGCCCCCUGACGUUUGGAGAUGGUGAAAAUCAGACCUUGAACUUUCCAAUUUUUGCAAUUUAGUCCCCCCUGAAGUUUUGAAAACUUGCAAAUCAAACCCUGGAGUUUCAGAUUUCUAAAAUCAGUUUUAUUUAAUUAUUUUUAAUUUCGAAAAUCAUUUAUUUAAUUUUCAAAAAUAGAUUUUAAUUAUUUCUUUAUUCAAAAACAAAUCUAAAUUAAUUUAUUAAUUAACUUUAAUUAGUAAUUAAUUAUUAUAAUUAGUCAAUUAAUUUGAAUAUUAAUUGAUUAAUUGUUUUAAUUAUUUAUUAAUUGAUUUUAAUUGAUUUAUUAAUUAGAUUUAAUUGUUUUAAAUGUUUUUAAAAAUCCAGAAAAAUAGUUUCAAGCUUUAGAAAAUUAUUCAAAAAUAUGUUGAAGGUUCGUUAAUUGAUUUCAAAUGAUUUCGAACCUUAUUUCGAGUAUUCGGACUUGUUUAUUCAGUUAUAAAUUGAUUCUUUUACCCGUUUUUAUUCCGAAAAAUGUUUGAAAAUUCAUAAUAAAUACCAGAAAAAUCAUUUCAACCUCAAACCUUUUCUGAAAAGCUAUUUCAUUGAUUCUCUUAUGUGUUAGGUGCUAUGUGUUACUUGAUUGAGAUGUGAAAUGCUUAUGUGAACGUUAUAUGACUGUUUUAAUCGUAUCUUUUGAACCGUAAGUCGGAUUUAAGUGAAACGAAGGGUAGAUAGAAGCUUGUUUCGAUUAUGAAACAAAUAGGAUGACAUGAGAAUGAAUAUUGAUAGAUGAAUAUUCUGAUUAUCAGAGAAGGACAGGCUUAGAAAAGGAAAGCAGGUAGUGUUGGAGUGAUUCUGUUAGUGAAAGCUAUAGAGAGAAGUAAAGCUUCUGAAUAAGGCAAGUGCUCUAUUCUCAACUUGUACUUCUGUAAACUCCUUGAGUUACUGUUCUGCAUAUAAUGUCGUUGUUCUGGAUAGAUUUAAAAAUGCAUCUGUUGAUAUAUUGUGCUAUUGAUCCUGAUUAUUGAUAAACCUUAUUCAACCCUCUUGACACCUGAAUUACAAACUUAACCUUGACUUUGGUUUCAAUGGAACUUGUACCCAUUUCUUUGAGACUUGGAAACACAAAUCAUUCACUUUGAUAUUCUUUCAUCCUUGCAUGACCAACCAGUACAAGCCUAUAUGUUACAAUACUUCACCAAAUUAUACAAUGUCUUAACAAACACCUAUAUUACUCUUUUGGAAGAAGGUUCACACGUAUACACCCUAACACUUGAAAUUCCUACAAGUUAAACAUAUUUGAAACCUCAAGCUAUUCUCACUUACAUUUUUCUCUCUACAAAACCUCAGAUUAGCUUCACCAUAUAUUUGAUCUUUCUUCCAACCUCAAGACAUUCUUCAAACAUAUGAUGAGGAUACUUAAACCUACUUCUGAAUUAUCCUUUGAUCCUGAUAUGUAUUGCUCCACUAAUUAUCAUGAUUCUGAUUUGAAGAUUUUGAUUCUGUUUGAUAAUAUUGCUUCUGUUCAAAUGGUAUUGAUUCUGAUUUAUUGAGAUAUUGUUGAUUUCAUUAUAUUGUUAAAGAAUUGGAUUGUUUUGUAAGUGUGGACCAGAUUCGUGGUCGUUAGGCCAAUGCGUGCCUUGGAUCCAGUGAUAGAGCUUGGUAUGUACCUGGCUCGGGGUUAGUGCGUGACUGAUCAGCAGCCUAACCUUGGUUUUAAAUAAAAAUAUGAAUAUCCAAUUCUUAGCACUGCUUUAAAAGAGAUUUGAUAUCCUGAUUCAUUUUUAUUGAUAAUUGUUGAACUUCAGUUUAUGGUUUAUAUUGCUUGCUGAGCUGUAAGCUCACUCUUGCGAUUCCUUAUGUUCUUUUCCAGUGAAGAAAGAGACUACUGUUAGCGAGGACCCACAGGCUAGCCAUCAAGCUAAGGUAUCAGGAUGAGUGUUGGGAAGCCUUGCUAGGAGUUGCUGAUAGUAUAAACUUUUGAGUAUCGUUGUGUGUAAGCACUACGUUUUAUGUUUAUAAGUUGUAAGAUGAUAAUUGGGAUUCGAGGUAUUGUAAUAUAACUUAAGUUGUGGCUUGUUUCAUACUAUAACCUGAAGCGAUCCGUGGAUGUUUAGGGUCAAUGCAUAUAUUAUUAUGGUUUACAGGUUUAUAUUGUUGUGUGUGACCCCCAGGUCUAUGACCCGGAUUUGGAGGGUGUCACAGGUUGGUAUCAGAGCUACAGGUUAUGAGUCAAUGAAACAAGCCUAGAUUGUCGGGUUUGGGUAGAGGGAUUAAGAUUAGAAAUGAGUGAUAGGUAGAUAGAACGUUGAGAGGUGAGUAAUGGUGACUAACAGGUAUUCUUAUUAUCAGAGAUUCUUAUGUAUGCGUUAUCUCAUGACUUUCAGAUAUUCACGAUGUCAGACCCUAUCAUUCCUCCAUAUCCCCAGUAUUCAGAGACUACAGUUAACGGACCCCCACCCUCUCAGAGACUUGAGCCUCACCCUCCUGUUUCACCCCCUUUAGAGGAUGUGUUGGCUGCAGCAGCAGUGGUUCCUCCCAGGGAUAUACCCUCGACUUCUUCUGCACCACCCCUUGUUCCUUAUCAUGAGUUUGAGGCGAUGAGUAUGGAGUGUCAGUAUCUACUCGGACAGGUUAGAGAGCUGGAGCGUAUCAUACAGAUGACGGACACUGGGAGAGCUGAGCGAGCGCUGAGGUAUGAGAUUGUAGAUGUUAGGAUGAUGGCGAGGGCGAAGCUUGGUGCCAUAGCUGAAGAUCAGAGUACCUACAGUGAUUUAGUGGAGUGGGCCAUAUGGAUGAUGAAGGAGUUGGAUAAGCUUGGAGGUCCUACUUUUCCUUGGAGUUAGACGGUGGUAGUUACAGAGUGGAGGUACCAUGUAUAUUAGUGUGUAGUGUGUAGUGUGUGGUGGUAGGGUAGUGUCAGCCGAUUUUGACCUGAUAUAGACUAAGAUGUGCUGACCAGUGUGUAGGUUGCUGUUGUGUUUUACUUUUGACAAGCGCUUGCGCUGAUGUACCCCCAGCUCUUUAUAUAUAUUAGAACUUUUCUUUUUCAUACUGUCCUUUUACUUUAUUGCACCCGUUUUACUUACUUUACAUAUUACACUUGUUUUACAUACUGCACUUCAUAUAAACCCUGUGAUAUCAUUAUACCCUGUUUCUUUCAUUAUUGCUCUGUUCUGUGAAGAAGCAUGCGAUUUAUUUAAUUCAAUGAUCAAAAAUGUUUUCAAAAAGAAAUAUUCUGUUUUUCUAAAAACAAUUGCUAAAAGUUUUGAAGGUUAAAUAAACUGCUUGUUUCUUUACAGAGCUAUGCCUCCUAGAAGACAAACCCGUGCAACCAACCCUGAUGACAACAACAAUAACAAUAAUCCAGAACCUACAAUGGCCCAGAUUCUUCAGAUCUUGGCCCAACAGACUGCCAACCUGACUCAGCAGCAGGAAAGGCAGGCUAAUCCCCAGGUUACUUUCAAAAACUUUCAGUCUGUUAAUCCCCCAGAGUUUAAGGGUUCAGCGGACCCUAUUGAGGCUAGGAUAUGGUUGAAGGAAAUUGAAAAGGCAUUUAUGUUAGUUAAAGUGAGAGAUGAGCAGAAGACUGAGUUUGCUAGUUAUUAUUUGAAGGAGGAGGCCACCUAUUGGUGGGAGUCUGUGAGAGCAAUGGAAGGGACAGAGGAUGUUACUUGGGAUAGGUUUAAGGAGUUGUUUUUGGAGAAAUACUUUCCUCAAUUUCUCCAGGAUCGAAUGGAGUUACAGUUUUUAGAAUUGAAGCAAGGGGAUAUGUCAGUGGCUGAGUAUGAGAAAAAGUUUGCUGAGUUGGCUAGGUUUGUUCCAACCUAUGUAGAUACUGAUAGGAAGAGAGCUAAGAGAUUCCAACAGGGUUUAAAGGCAUGGAUCAGGGGAAAGCUAGCCAUAUUGGAAUUAGAUACUUAUGCGGCUGUUGUUCAGAAGGCAAUGAUAGCGGAAACGGAAAGCGAAAUGUCUCAGAAGGAGAAAGAGGGAAAGAAGCGUAAGCCAGAGCAUCAUGAGGGACAGUUUCAGCAGGGAAGGUUUCAGAACUUUAACCCGAAGAAAGGGAAAUUUCAGCAGGGGAGAAAUCCCACUUUUAAGAAGCCAGAUGUAGGUGGUAGUGGACAAGGUAACCGUCCAGCUAUUGGAAAUCAACCAAGGCCUCCACUGCCGGAGUGCCAGAUAUGUGGAAAGAGACACGGGGGAAUCUGUAAUAGAUUGAAUGUGGUGUGUUAUAAGUGUAAUCAGAAGGGACACUAUUCUAGGGAAUGUCAGAACCCACCAGCACGGACCCCAAUGAUUCGAGAUCAACCAGCAAGGAACCAACCCAAUAGGACUCCAGCAGCUGGGAUAACAUGUUUUAGGUGUGGAAAACCAGGACACAUGGUGAAGGAUUGCAAGGUACCAGCUCCAAGUAACCCUACACUUAGAAUUAUGGGAUCCACUCCAGUAGUCCCAGAAGUUCCCAAAGCCAGAACCUACAACAUGACUAUGAGGGAUGCAGUUCAGGAUGCAGAUGUGGUGGCAGGUACGCUUACUGUGAAUUCUUUAUGUGCUAAGGUUUUGAUUGAUUCUGGAGCUACUAGAUCGUUUAUUUCUGAGGAUUUUGUGCCUAAGUUGAAUUGUCCUAUAGAAUUGCUUAAUGAGGUUAUGAAUAUAGAGUUGGCUAAUCAGGAACGUGUCCCUGUUAGCCAAGUUUAUAGGAAUUGUGAAGUUGAGAUCUUAGGAAAUAAGUUUUGUGCCGACUUGAUACCUUUCAAGUUGGGAGAGUUUGAUGUUAUUUUAGGGAUGGAUUGGUUAUCGAAGCAUAAUGCUCAGAUAGAUUGUCGUAGUAAAAAGGUGAUGUUAAAAACACCGAAUGAGAAGACGAUAGUAUUUCGAGGGCAGAAACAGGUAAAGAAGUUUUUGACUAUGAUUCAAACGAAGAGAUUGUUGCGUCAAGGUUGUGAAGCUUAUAUAGCAUAUGUAACUGAUCAGAGUCGAGAACUUGUGAAGCUUGAAGAUAUUCCUGUAGUAAACGAGUUUCCAGAUGUAUUUCCAGAUGAGUUACCCGGAUUACCUCCAGAUAGAGAAAUUGAAUUUGCAAUAGAUUUAGCACCUGGAACCGAACCAGUAUCUAAAGCCCCAUAUAGAAUGGCACCAGUAGAAAUGAAAGAAUUGGCAACCCAGUUACAAGAUUUGUUAGAGAAGGGAGUGAUUAGACCCAGUGUAUCCCCGUGGGGAGCACCAGUGUUGUUUGUGAAGAAGAAGGAUGGUAGUAUGAGGUUAUGUAUUGAUUACCGGGAACUUAAUAAGUUAACUAUUAAGAAUAGAUACCCAUUACCCCGUAUAGAUGAUUUGUUUGAUCAAUUGAAGGGAGCGAGAUGUUUUUCGAAGAUUGAUUUAAGAUCGGGAUACCAUCAGCUAAAGAUUAAACAAGAAGAUAUACCUAAAACAGCUUUUAGAACCCGAUAUGGCCACUAUGAGUUUUUAGUGAUGGCCUUUGGAUUAACCAAUGCCCCCGCAGCUUUUAUGGAUUUAAUGAACAGAGUCUUUAAACCAUAUUUGGAUAAAUUUGUGAUUGUAUUCAUAGAUGAUAUUUUGAUUUAUUCCAAAACCACUGAGGAUCAUGCAACCCACUUAAGGAUGGCUUUAGAGACAUUGAGAAGAGAGAAGCUGUAUGCUAAGUUUUCAAAGUGUGAAUUCUGGUUACAAGAGGUUCAAUUUCUAGGUCAUAUAGUCAGUAAAGAAGGAAUUAAAGUAGAUCCCUCCAAGAUUGAGGCAAUUAUGAAUUGGGAAAGGCCAAGGACACCAACAGAAGUCAGAAGUUUCUUGGGUUUGGCAGGUUAUUAUAGAAGAUUUGUUCAAGAUUUCUCAAGGAUUGCUGUACCAAUGACGAGGCUUACCCGGAAAGAAGAAAAGUUCGUGUGGACUGAAAAGUGUGAAGAAAGUUUCCAAGAAUUAAAGAAAAGGUUAGUAUCAGCCCCAGUGUUAUCACUUCCAGAUGAGCAAGGGAAUUUUGUAAUUUAUAGUGAUGCUUCUCAUAAGGGAUUGGGUUGUGUGUUGAUGCAACAUGACAAAGUCAUUGCUUAUGCAUCCAGACAACUCAAACCCCAUGAGCAGAAGUAUCCUACACAUGAUUUAGAACUAGCAGCCAUAGUGUUUGCAUUGAAGAUUUGGAGACAUUAUUUAUAUGGAGAAAAGUGUGAAAUCUACACCGAUCAUAAGAGUCUGAAGUAUAUCUUUACACAGAAGGAGCUUAAUAUGAGGCAGAGAAGGUGGUUAGAAUUGAUAAAGGAUUAUGAUUGCACCAUCAAUUAUCACCCUGGAAAGGCAAAUGUAGUGGCAGAUGCUUUGAGCAGGAAAGAAAGACUGAAUGUGUUGACGUUACCUAAGGAAAUAUAUAGAGAAUUCGAAAAGCUGGAAAUAGAAGUUAGAGUGAGUGAACCCUCAGAAGCUGGAUUAUAUACAAUGAUUUUUCAACCAGAGUUACUAGAAAAGAUAAGGAAAUGUCAAGAGACCGUAAUGGAACAGGAUGUUAAUAAUUUAGUUGGGGAAGAACUUUGUACCCAGAAAGAUGAGCAAGGUAUUCUAAGAUUUUCUUCUAGAAUAUGGAUUCCACCAGUACAGGAGUUGAAAGAUGAAGUUUUAAGUGAAGCACAUAGUUCCGCUUAUUCAAUUCACCCCGGGAGCACUAAAAUGUAUAGAGAUUUGAAGGAGAAUUAUUGGUGGCCAGAUAUGAAGAGAGAGAUUGCAGAGUGGGUAAAUAAAUGUUAUACGUGUCAAAGAGUGAAGGCAGAACACCAGCGACCGAGUGGAUUGUUACAACCCCUAGAAAUUCCAGAAUGGAAAUGGGAGCAUAUUGCGAUGGAUUUUAUAGUUGGAUUACCUAGAACGAGGGCAAAUCACGAUGCCAUAUGGGUUAUUGUAGAUAGACUAACUAAGUCAGCUCAUUUCCUUCCCAUUAACGAAAGAUUCUCAUUAGACAAGUUAGUCCAUAUGUAUCUGAAGGAGAUCGUCGUUCGUCACGGAGUUCCAGUCUCCAUUGUAUCCGAUCGAGAUCCACGAUUCAACUCGAGAUUCUGGAAGAGCUUUCAGGAAUGCUUGGGCACCAGAUUGAAUAUGAGCACUGCUUAUCAUCCACAAACUGAUGGUCAGAGUGAAAGGACUAUUCAAACAAUCGAGGAUAUGCUACGUGUCUGUGCUAUUGAUUUCAAAGGCAAUUGGGAUGAACAUCUACCGUUAGUGGAAUUCUCAUACAACAACAGUUAUCAUGCAAGCAUCGGAAUGCCUCCUUAUGAAGCUCUUUAUGGACGUAAAUGUCGCUCACCCGUAUGUUGGGAUGAAGUAGGAGAACGCAAACUACUUGGGCCAGAACUAGUUCAGCAGACGAAGGAAGUGAUUGAAACCAUUCAAAGAAGACUGAUUGCAGCACAGAAUCGUCAGAGAAAGUACGCGGAUCAAGCCAGGAAGGAUAUGGAAUUUGAAGAAGGAGAACCUGUAUUACUGAAGAUUUCGCCAUGGAAAGGACUAUCCCGAUUUGGCAAGAAAGGAAAGCUAAGUCCCAGAUACGUCGGACCAUUCGAGAUCUUGAGGCGCGUUGGUAAAGUGGCUUAUGAGUUAGCGUUACCCCCACAUAUGGAGCAUAUUCAUAACGUCUUUCAUGUGUCAAUGCUUAAGAAGUAUCAUCCAGAUUCUAGGCAUGUGAUAGAAUACGAGCCAGUAGAGCUUCAGGCAGAUUUGUCUUAUGUUGAGAAUCCAAUAGAGAUUCUAGAUAGGAAGGAGAAAGUGUUAAGGAAUAAAGUGGUGAAAAUAGUGAGAGUAUUGUGGAGAAACCCAAAAGUUGAAGAAUCAACUUGGGAGUUAGAAAGUGAUAUGUGUGAGAAAUAUCCUCACUUGUUUUCUUAGCAGAUUCUGAGGACAGAAUCCUUUUAAGGGGGGAAGGAUGUAAUAUCCGGGAUUUCGACAUGUAUUUAUUUAUGCCAGUAUGCGAAUAUUUUGUGAAUAUUAUGUGAAUUAAUUGUGAAUUAUAUGUUAAGUGACUUGUUGAAUGAUCGUUUAUGUAUGUUAUGACUUGUGAAAUUAUAAUUUUUAUAUGAUCAGAUCAAAAUAUGGAGAAUUUAGGCACUCAUUUGGUAGAUUAUGGAUUAUUAUAUGAUUUGAUAUUUGAUUUAAGGAUUAAUUAAGUAUAUUAUAAAAUAUUAUUAUUAAAUUGAUUUUAAACCCGUUUACUCGAUAAUUAAACCCCGGGGGGCUUCCGGGAAAAUUUCGCUGGUUUGUUAUUUGAGACAUUCUGAACCAUUUUCGUGUUUUAACUUUUCCCAUCUGGUGUACGGAUUUACGUGAAAGAUUUUCGGAACGAUUUUAUGAAUAUUUUAUUGUUAUUUUACCGUAUCGAUAAACGUGUACGCCGGAUAUUUGUAACCCCAAAUUAUUUUGGCUAAAGCAUUAUACUCUCGUAGUUCGCGCCAAUCAAAGCUCGGAGCCCCAUAAGUUUCUCGUAAUGUGUGUAUUUGAUAUUUAUCUUUAAAGUCGGUUCCGAACGGAUCAGUUUUAUUAAUAUUUAAUGAUUAAGAAGUGUAUUUUAUGUCCGGUAUGAUCCAAAUGGGGGCCAGUUAUUCGUAAUUAUAAAUAGGAUAAUUACUAUUUUAUUUUUCAUAAUUAUCAUUUCAAUACACGAGAAUCGAGAGAAACUAGUUAUUCGUUCUUCGCGUUCUUGAAGUUCAAUCGAAGGUUUGAAGGCGUUAUCGAUCUCAGAAUCAAGCAUACAAGUAGUCCAAACGAAGGUAUCGACGCGUAGAAUCCAUAUCAAGUCUCAAAAACAGGUAGAGAUUCACCGUUGGGGAGUAAUUUGAGUUUGAAAUUUCGUAUGAAUUAGGGUUUAAUUAGGGCUUUUUGAUUUUGAUGUGGUUUAUGUGAUUUUAUGCUUCCAUGUUGUAGAUAAUCUUCUCCUGAUCAUUUUGGUAUAUCAUAUGUAUGAUUUGGAGUUCAAUAACAUGUUCAAAAUUGAGUUUAAUCAUUCGAAUUAGGGUUAGGGUUCUUGAGCCGAAGAACAGAUUCAAUUGAAAAUUAGGGCUUUUUAAUCCAGGAGGUAGAAGUGAAAUUGAAUGAUACCAUCAUGUUUAUCAUGUUCCCAGGAGUGUGUACAUGCCUUCAAAUGUUAUCAGAGGUUCCAGAAUCGGCCGAAUCGACGAGAAGAAGUUUCGCCGGCGACGGCGAACUUCCUCGAGUUUUUCCGGCCAAUUCACGAACCUCCAGCUCGAUUUGAUGAUUGAUAUAGAUUCCUGGUGAGUUGUAGAUGUUAUCUGCACCUUGGGGUGGCCGUCUACGGCCUGGAACGCCGUCUCCGGCGUCGGGACGGCGAGAACUGUAAAAAUUACAGUUCAGCCCCCUGACGUUUGGAGAUGGUGAAAAUCAGACCUUGAACUUUCCAAUUUUUGCAAUUUAGUCCCCCCUGAAGUUUUGAAAACUUGCAAAUCAAACCCUGGAGUUUCAGAUUUCUAAAAUCAGUUUUAUUUAAUUAUUUUUAAUUUCGAAAAUCAUUUAUUUAAUUUUCAAAAAUAGAUUUUAAUUAUUUCUUUAUUCAAAAACAAAUCUAAAUUAAUUUAUUAAUUAACUUUAAUUAGUAAUUAAUUAUUAUAAUUAGUCAAUUAAUUUGAAUAUUAAUUGAUUAAUUGUUUUAAUUAUUUAUUAAUUGAUUUUAAUUGAUUUAUUAAUUAGAUUUAAUUGUUUUAAAUGUUUUUAAAAAUCCAGAAAAAUAGUUUCAAGCUUUAGAAAAUUAUUCAAAAAUAUGUUGAAGGUUCGUUAAUUGAUUUCAAAUGAUUUCGAACCUUAUUUCGAGUAUUCGGACUUGUUUAUUCAGUUAUAAAUUGAUUCUUUUACCCGUUUUUAUUCCGAAAAAUGUUUGAAAAUUCAUAAUAAAUACCAGAAAAAUCAUUUCAACCUCAAACCUUUUCUGAAAAGCUAUUUCAUUGAUUCUCUUAUGUGUUAGGUGCUAUGUGUUACUUGAUUGAGAUGUGAAAUGCUUAUGUGAACGUUAUAUGACUGUUUUAAUCGUAUCUUUUGAACCGUAAGUCGGAUUUAAGUGAAACGAAGGGUAGAUAGAAGCUUGUUUCGAUUAUGAAACAAAUAGGAUGACAUGAGAAUGAAUAUUGAUAGAUGAAUAUUCUGAUUAUCAGAGAAGGACAGGCUUAGAAAAGGAAAGCAGGUAGUGUUGGAGUGAUUCUGUUAGUGAAAGCUAUAGAGAGAAGUAAAGCUUCUGAAUAAGGCAAGUGCUCUAUUCUCAACUUGUACUUCUGUAAACUCCUUGAGUUACUGUUCUGCAUAUAAUGUCGUUGUUCUGGAUAGAUUUAAAAAUGCAUCUGUUGAUAUAUUGUGCUAUUGAUCCUGAUUAUUGAUAAACCUUAUUCAACCCUCUUGACACCUGAAUUACAAACUUAACCUUGACUUUGGUUUCAAUGGAACUUGUACCCAUUUCUUUGAGACUUGGAAACACAAAUCAUUCACUUUGAUAUUCUUUCAUCCUUGCAUGACCAACCAGUACAAGCCUAUAUGUUACAAUACUUCACCAAAUUAUACAAUGUCUUAACAAACACCUAUAUUACUCUUUUGGAAGAAGGUUCACACGUAUACACCCUAACACUUGAAAUUCCUACAAGUUAAACAUAUUUGAAACCUCAAGCUAUUCUCACUUACAUUUUUCUCUCUACAAAACCUCAGAUUAGCUUCACCAUAUAUUUGAUCUUUCUUCCAACCUCAAGACAUUCUUCAAACAUAUGAUGAGGAUACUUAAACCUACUUCUGAAUUAUCCUUUGAUCCUGAUAUGUAUUGCUCCACUAAUUAUCAUGAUUCUGAUUUGAAGAUUUUGAUUCUGUUUGAUAAUAUUGCUUCUGUUCAAAUGGUAUUGAUUCUGAUUUAUUGAGAUAUUGUUGAUUUCAUUAUAUUGUUAAAGAAUUGGAUUGUUUUGUAAGUGUGGACCAGAUUCGUGGUCGUUAGGCCAAUGCGUGCCUUGGAUCCAGUGAUAGAGCUUGGUAUGUACCUGGCUCGGGGUUAGUGCGUGACUGAUCAGCAGCCUAACCUUGGUUUUAAAUAAAAAUAUGAAUAUCCAAUUCUUAGCACUGCUUUAAAAGAGAUUUGAUAUCCUGAUUCAUUUUUAUUGAUAAUUGUUGAACUUCAGUUUAUGGUUUAUAUUGCUUGCUGAGCUGUAAGCUCACUCUUGCGAUUCCUUAUGUUCUUUUCCAGUGAAGAAAGAGACUACUGUUAGCGAGGACCCACAGGCUAGCCAUCAAGCUAAGGUAUCAGGAUGAGUGUUGGGAAGCCUUGCUAGGAGUUGCUGAUAGUAUAAACUUUUGAGUAUCGUUGUGUGUAAGCACUACGUUUUAUGUUUAUAAGUUGUAAGAUGAUAAUUGGGAUUCGAGGUAUUGUAAUAUAACUUAAGUUGUGGCUUGUUUCAUACUAUAACCUGAAGCGAUCCGUGGAUGUUUAGGGUCAAUGCAUAUAUUAUUAUGGUUUACAGGUUUAUAUUGUUGUGUGUGACCCCCAGGUCUAUGACCCGGAUUUGGAGGGUGUCACAGGUUGGUAUCAGAGCUACAGGUUAUGAGUCAAUGAAACAAGCCUAGAUUGUCGGGUUUGGGUAGAGGGAUUAAGAUUAGAAAUGAGUGAUAGGUAGAUAGAACGUUGAGAGGUGAGUAAUGGUGACUAACAGGUAUUCUUAUUAUCAGAGAUUCUUAUGUAUGCGUUAUCUCAUGACUUUCAGAUAUUCACGAUGUCAGACCCUAUCAUUCCUCCAUAUCCCCAGUAUUCAGAGACUACAGUUAACGGACCCCCACCCUCUCAGAGACUUGAGCCUCACCCUCCUGUUUCACCCCCUUUAGAGGAUGUGUUGGCUGCAGCAGCAGUGGUUCCUCCCAGGGAUAUACCCUCGACUUCUUCUGCACCACCCCUUGUUCCUUAUCAUGAGUUUGAGGCGAUGAGUAUGGAGUGUCAGUAUCUACUCGGACAGGUUAGAGAGCUGGAGCGUAUCAUACAGAUGACGGACACUGGGAGAGCUGAGCGAGCGCUGAGGUAUGAGAUUGUAGAUGUUAGGAUGAUGGCGAGGGCGAAGCUUGGUGCCAUAGCUGAAGAUCAGAGUACCUACAGUGAUUUAGUGGAGUGGGCCAUAUGGAUGAUGAAGGAGUUGGAUAAGCUUGGAGGUCCUACUUUUCCUUGGAGUUAGACGGUGGUAGUUACAGAGUGGAGGUACCAUGUAUAUUAGUGUGUAGUGUGUAGUGUGUGGUGGUAGGGUAGUGUCAGCCGAUUUUGACCUGAUAUAGACUAAGAUGUGCUGACCAGUGUGUAGGUUGCUGUUGUGUUUUACUUUUGACAAGCGCUUGCGCUGAUGUACCCCCAGCUCUUUAUAUAUAUUAGAACUUUUCUUUUUCAUACUGUCCUUUUACUUUAUUGCACCCGUUUUACUUACUUUACAUAUUACACUUGUUUUACAUACUGCACUUCAUAUAAACCCUGUGAUAUCAUUAUACCCUGUUUCUUUCAUUAUUGCUCUGUUCUGUGAAGAAGCAUGCGAUUUAUUUAAUUCAAUGAUCAAAAAUGUUUUCAAAAAGAAAUAUUCUGUUUUUCUAAAAACAAUUGCUAAAAGUUUUGAAGGUUAAAUAAACUGCUUGUUUCUUUACAGAGCUAUGCCUCCUAGAAGACAAACCCGUGCAACCAACCCUGAUGACAACAACAAUAACAAUAAUCCAGAACCUACAAUGGCCCAGAUUCUUCAGAUCUUGGCCCAACAGACUGCCAACCUGACUCAGCAGCAGGAAAGGCAGGCUAAUCCCCAGGUUACUUUCAAAAACUUUCAGUCUGUUAAUCCCCCAGAGUUUAAGGGUUCAGCGGACCCUAUUGAGGCUAGGAUAUGGUUGAAGGAAAUUGAAAAGGCAUUUAUGUUAGUUAAAGUGAGAGAUGAGCAGAAGACUGAGUUUGCUAGUUAUUAUUUGAAGGAGGAGGCCACCUAUUGGUGGGAGUCUGUGAGAGCAAUGGAAGGGACAGAGGAUGUUACUUGGGAUAGGUUUAAGGAGUUGUUUUUGGAGAAAUACUUUCCUCAAUUUCUCCAGGAUCGAAUGGAGUUACAGUUUUUAGAAUUGAAGCAAGGGGAUAUGUCAGUGGCUGAGUAUGAGAAAAAGUUUGCUGAGUUGGCUAGGUUUGUUCCAACCUAUGUAGAUACUGAUAGGAAGAGAGCUAAGAGAUUCCAACAGGGUUUAAAGGCAUGGAUCAGGGGAAAGCUAGCCAUAUUGGAAUUAGAUACUUAUGCGGCUGUUGUUCAGAAGGCAAUGAUAGCGGAAACGGAAAGCGAAAUGUCUCAGAAGGAGAAAGAGGGAAAGAAGCGUAAGCCAGAGCAUCAUGAGGGACAGUUUCAGCAGGGAAGGUUUCAGAACUUUAACCCGAAGAAAGGGAAAUUUCAGCAGGGGAGAAAUCCCACUUUUAAGAAGCCAGAUGUAGGUGGUAGUGGACAAGGUAACCGUCCAGCUAUUGGAAAUCAACCAAGGCCUCCACUGCCGGAGUGCCAGAUAUGUGGAAAGAGACACGGGGGAAUCUGUAAUAGAUUGAAUGUGGUGUGUUAUAAGUGUAAUCAGAAGGGACACUAUUCUAGGGAAUGUCAGAACCCACCAGCACGGACCCCAAUGAUUCGAGAUCAACCAGCAAGGAACCAACCCAAUAGGACUCCAGCAGCUGGGAUAACAUGUUUUAGGUGUGGAAAACCAGGACACAUGGUGAAGGAUUGCAAGGUACCAGCUCCAAGUAACCCUACACUUAGAAUUAUGGGAUCCACUCCAGUAGUCCCAGAAGUUCCCAAAGCCAGAACCUACAACAUGACUAUGAGGGAUGCAGUUCAGGAUGCAGAUGUGGUGGCAGGUACGCUUACUGUGAAUUCUUUAUGUGCUAAGGUUUUGAUUGAUUCUGGAGCUACUAGAUCGUUUAUUUCUGAGGAUUUUGUGCCUAAGUUGAAUUGUCCUAUAGAAUUGCUUAAUGAGGUUAUGAAUAUAGAGUUGGCUAAUCAGGAACGUGUCCCUGUUAGCCAAGUUUAUAGGAAUUGUGAAGUUGAGAUCUUAGGAAAUAAGUUUUGUGCCGACUUGAUACCUUUCAAGUUGGGAGAGUUUGAUGUUAUUUUAGGGAUGGAUUGGUUAUCGAAGCAUAAUGCUCAGAUAGAUUGUCGUAGUAAAAAGGUGAUGUUAAAAACACCGAAUGAGAAGACGAUAGUAUUUCGAGGGCAGAAACAGGUAAAGAAGUUUUUGACUAUGAUUCAAACGAAGAGAUUGUUGCGUCAAGGUUGUGAAGCUUAUAUAGCAUAUGUAACUGAUCAGAGUCGAGAACUUGUGAAGCUUGAAGAUAUUCCUGUAGUAAACGAGUUUCCAGAUGUAUUUCCAGAUGAGUUACCCGGAUUACCUCCAGAUAGAGAAAUUGAAUUUGCAAUAGAUUUAGCACCUGGAACCGAACCAGUAUCUAAAGCCCCAUAUAGAAUGGCACCAGUAGAAAUGAAAGAAUUGGCAACCCAGUUACAAGAUUUAUUAGAGAAGGGAGUGAUUAGACCCAGUGUAUCCCCGUGGGGAGCACCAGUGUUGUUUGUGAAGGAUGGUAGUAUGAGGUUAUGUAUCGAUUACCGGGAACUUAAUAAGUUAACCAUUAAGAAUAGAUACCCAUUACCCCGUAUAGAUGAUUUAUUUGAUCAAUUGAAGGGAGCGAGAUGUUUUUCGAAGAUUGAUUUAAGAUCGGGAUACCAUCAGCUAAAGAUUAAACAGGAAGACAUACCUAAAACAGCUUUUAGAACCCGAUAUGGCCACUAUGAGUUUUUAGUGAUGGCCUUUGGAUUAACCAAUGCCCCCGCAGCUUUUAUGGAUUUAAUGAACAGAGUCUUUAAACCAUAUUUGGAUAAAUUUGUGAUUGUAUUCAUAGAUGAUAUUUUAAUUUAUUCCAAAACCACUGAGGAUCAUGCAACCCACUUAAGGAUGGCUUUAGAGACAUUGAGAAGAGAGAAGCUGUAUGCUAAGUUUUCAAAGUGUGAAUUCUGGUUACAAGAGGUUCAAUUUCUAGGUCAUAUAGUCAGUAAAGAAGGAAUUAAAGUAGAUCCCUCCAAGAUUGAGGCAAUUAUGAAUUGGGAAAGGCCAAGGACACCAACAGAAGUCAGAAGUUUCUUGGGUUUGGCAGGUUAUUAUAGAAGAUUUGUUCAAGAUUUCUCAAGGAUUGCUGUACCAAUGACGAGGCUUACCCGGAAAGAAGAAAAGUUCGUGUGGACUGAAAAGUGUGAAGAAAGCUUCCAAGAAUUAAAGAAAAGGUUAGUAUCAGCCCCAGUGUUAUCACUUCCAGAUGAGCAAGGGAAUUUUGUAAUUUAUAGUGAUGCUUCUCAUAAGGGAUUGGGUUGUGUGUUGAUGCAACAUGACAAAGUCAUUGCUUAUGCAUCCAGACAACUCAAACCCCAUGAGCAGAAGUAUCCUACACAUGAUUUAGAACUAGCAGCCAUAGUGUUUGCAUUGAAGAUUUGGAGACAUUAUUUAUAUGGAGAAAAGUGUGAAAUCUACACCGAUCAUAAGAGUCUGAAGUAUAUCUUUACACAGAAGGAGCUUAAUAUGAGGCAGAGAAGGUGGUUAGAAUUGAUAAAGGAUUAUGAUUGCACCAUCAAUUAUCACCCUGGAAAGGCAAAUGUAGUGGCAGAUGCUUUGAGUAGGAAAGAAAGACUGAAUGUGUUGACGUUACCUAAGGAAAUAUAUAGAGAAUUCGAAAAGCUGGAAAUAGAAGUUAGAGUGAGUGAACCCUCAGAAGCUGGAUUAUAUACAAUGAUUUUUCAACCAGAGUUACUAGAAAAGAUAAGGAAAUGUCAAGAGACCGUAAUGGAACAGGAUGUUAAUAAUUUAGUUGGGGAAGAACUUUGUACCCAGAAAGAUGAGCAAGGUAUUCUAAGAUUUUCUUCUAGAAUAUGGAUUCCACCAGUACAGGAGUUGAAAGAUGAAGUUUUAAGUGAAGCACAUAGUUCCGCUUAUUCAAUUCACCCCGGGAGCACUAAAAUGUAUAGAGAUUUGAAGGAGAAUUAUUGGUGGCCAGAUAUGAAGAGAGAGAUUGCAGAGUGGGUAAAUAAAUGUUAUACGUGUCAAAGAGUGAAGGCAGAACACCAGCGACCGAGUGGAUUGUUACAACCCCUAGAAAUUCCAGAAUGGAAAUGGGAGCAUAUUGCGAUGGAUUUUAUAGUUGGAUUACCUAGAACGAGGGCAAAUCACGAUGCCAUAUGGGUUAUUGUAGAUAGACUAACUAAGUCAGCUCAUUUCCUUCCCAUUAACGAAAGAUUCUCAUUAGACAAGUUAGUCCAUAUGUAUCUGAAGGAGAUCGUCGUUCGUCACGGAGUUCCAGUCUCCAUUGUAUCCGAUCGAGAUCCACGAUUCAACUCGAGAUUCUGGAAGAGCUUUCAGGAAUGCUUGGGCACCAGAUUGAAUAUGAGCACUGCUUAUCAUCCACAAACUGAUGGUCAGAGUGAAAGGACUAUUCAAACAAUCGAGGAUAUGCUACGUGUCUGUGCUAUCGACUUCAAAGGCAAUUGGGAUGAACAUCUACCGUUAGUGGAAUUCUCAUACAACAACAGUUAUCAUGCAAGCAUUGGAAUGCCUCCUUAUGAAGCUCUUUAUGGACGUAAAUGUCGCUCACCCGUAUGUUGGGAUGAAGUAGGAGAACGCAAACUACUUGGGCCAGAACUAGUUCAGCAGACGAAAGAAGUGAUUGAAACCAUUCAAAGAAGACUGAUUGCAGCACAGAAUCGUCAGAGAAAGUACGCGGAUCAAGCCAGGAAGGAUAUGGAAUUUGAAGAAGGAGAACCUGUAUUACUGAAGAUUUCGCCAUGGAAAGGACUAUCCCGAUUUGGCAAGAAAGGAAAGCUAAGUCCCAGAUACGUCGGACCAUUCGAGAUCUUGAGGCGCGUUGGUAAAGUGGCUUAUGAGUUAGCGUUACCCCCACAUAUGGAGCAUAUUCAUAACGUCUUUCAUGUGUCAAUGCUUAAGAAGUAUCAUCCAGAUUCUAGGCAUGUGAUAGAGUACGAGCCAGUAGAGCUUCAGGCAGAUUUGUCUUAUGUUGAGACUCCAAUAGAGAUUCUAGAUAGGAAAGAGAAAGUGUUAAGAAAUAAAGUGGUGAAAAUAGUGAGAGUGUUGUGGAGAAACCCAAAAGUUGAAGAAUCAACUUGGGAGUUAGAAAGUGAUAUGCGUGAGAAAUAUCCUCACUUGUUUUCUUAGCAGAUUCUGAGGACAGAAUCCUUUUAAGGGGGGAAGGAUGUAAUAUCCGGGAUUUCGACAUGUAUUUAUUUAUGCCAGUAUGCGAAUAUUUUGUGAAUAUUAUGUGAAUUAAUUGUGAAUUAUAUGUUAAGUGACUUGUUGAAUGAUCGUUUAUGUAUGUUAUGACUUGUUAGAUUAUAAUUUUUAUAUGAUCAGAUCAAAAUAUGGAGAAUUUAGGCACUCAUUUGGCAAAUUAUGGAUUAUUACAUGAUUUGAUAUUUGAUUUAAGGGUUUAAUUAAGUAUAUUAUAAGAUAUUAUUAUUAAAUUGAUUUUAAACCCGUUUACUCGAUAAUUAAACCCCGGGGGGCUUCCGGGAAAAUUUUGCCGGUUUGUUAUUUGAGACAUUCUGAACAACUUUCGUGUUUUAACUUUUCCCAUCUGGUGUACGGAUUUACGUGAAAGAGUUUCGGAACGAUUUUAUGAAUAUUUUAUUAUUAUCGAUAAACGUGUACGCCGGAUAUUUUUAACCCCAAAUUAUUUUGACUAAAGCAUUAUAUUUCUCGUACUUCGUGCCAGACAAAGCUCGGAGCCCCAUACGUUUCUCGUAAUGUGUGUAUUUGAUAAUUAUCUUUAAAGUCGGUCCCGAACGGAUCAGUUUUAUUAAUACUUAAUGAUUAAGAAGUGUAUUUUAUAUCCGGUAUGAUCCAAAUGGGGGCCAGUUAUUCGUAAUUAUAAAUAGGAUAAUUAUUAGUUUAUUUUUCAUAAUUAUCAUUUCAAUACACGAGAAUCGAGAGAAACUAGUUAUUCGUUCUUCGCGUUCUUGAAGUUCAAUCGAAGGUUUGAAGGCGUUAUCGAUCUCAGAAUCAAGCAUACAAGUAGUCCAAACGAAGGUAUCGACGCGUAGAAUCCAUAUCAAGUCUCAAAAACAGGUAGAGAUUCACCGUUGGGGAGUAAUUUGAGUUUGAAAUUUCGUAUGAAUUAGGGUUUAAUUAGGGCUUUUUGAUUUUGAUGUGGUUUAUGUGAUUUUAUGCUUCCAUGUUGUAGAUAAUCUUCUCCUGAUCAUUUUGGUAUAUCAUAUGCAUGAUUUGGAGUUCAAUAACAUGUUCAAAAUUGAGUUUAAUUGUUCGAAUUAGAAAUUAGGGUUUAUAGCCGUUUGAAUGUUUUCAAUUGAAAAUUAGGACUUUUUAAUCCGGGAGGUAGCAGUGAAAUUGGAGGAUACCAUCAUGUUUGUCAUGUCUCCAGGAGUGUGUACAUAUGUUUAAAUUGUACCUGAGGUUCAGGAAUUGGACGAAUUGACGAGAAGAAAAACUCGCCGGCGACGGCGAGUUUCUUCACGUUUUUCGGCCAAUUUCUGGCUCGGUUGGUUGAAUUGAAGCUGUGUACAUGUUUGUUGAGUCAGGGAGAGUGAUUCUGGAGAUUAUGGCAGCCAACGGAGGUCGGGAGAAUAAUCUCCGACGAAGGUGGCGGUGGCCGACGGUAAAUUACCGUUUGGUCACCACACUUUCGAAGGUGAUGAAGUUAUCGCACUGUGGUUUCGUUUUUAACAUCGCAAACCCUGAAGUUUCAAAACCUUGCAGUUUAAACCUUGAAGUUUAAAAACUUUUAAAAACUGAUUUAUUUUAAAUUCUUUUAAUUUCGAAAAUCAUUUAUUAUUUUUCAAAAAUAGUUUUAAUUAUUUCUUUAUUCAAAAACAAAUCUAAUUUAAUUUAUUAAUUAACUUUAAUUAGUAAUUAAUUAUUAUAAUUAGUCAAUUAAUUUAAAUAUUAAUUGAUUAAUUGUUUUAAUUAUUUAUUAAUUGAUUUUAAUUGAUUUAUUAAUUAGAUUUAAUUGUUUUAAUUGUUUUAAAAAUCCAGAAAAAUAGUUUCAAGCUUUAGAAAAUUAUUCUAAAGUAUAUUGAAGGUUUGUUAAUCGAUUUCAAGUGAUUUCGAACCUUAUUUCGAGUAUUUGAACUUGUUUAUUCAAUUAUAACUUGAUUCUUUUACCCGUUUUUAUUCCGAAAAAUGUUUGAAAAUUCAUAACAAAUACCAGAAAAAUCAUUUUAACCCCAAACCUUUUCUGAAAAGCUAUUUCAUUGAUUCUCUUAUGUGGUAUAUGCUAUGUGUUACUAGAUUGAUAUGUGAAAUGCUUAUGUGAACAUUGUAUGACUGUUUUAUUCGUAUCUUUUGAACCGUAAGUCGGAUUUAAGUGAAACGAAGGGUAGAUAGAAGCUUGUUUCGAUUAUGAAACGAAUAAGAUGAUAUAAGAUUGAGUAUUGAUAGAUGAAUAUGGUGAUUGUCAGAUAAGGACAGGCUUAGAAAAGGAAAGCAGGUAGUGUGGGAGUGAUUCUGUUAGUGAAAGCUAUAGAGAGAAGUAAAGCUUCUGAAUAAGGCAAGUGCUCUAUUCUCAACUUAUACUUCUGUAAACUCCUUGAGUUACUGUUCUGCAUAUAAUGUCGUUGUUCUGGAUAGAUUUGAAAGUACAUCUGUUGAUAUAUUGUGCUAUUGAUCCUAAUUAUUGAUAAACCUUAUUCAACCCUCUUGACACCUGAAUUACAAACUAAACCUUGACUUUGAUUUCAAUUGAACUUGUACCCAUUUCUUUGAGACUUGGAAACACAAAUCAUUUGCUUUGAUAUUCUGCCAUCCUUGCAUGACCAAACAGUACAAGCCUAUAUGUUACAAUACUUCACCAAAUUAUACAAUGUCUUACCAAACACCUAUAUUACUCUUUCGAAGAAUGUUCACACAUAUACACCCUAACACUUGAAUUUCCUUCAAGAUAAACAUAAUUGGAACCUUAAGUCAAUCUCAAUUGCAUCAUUUCUUCUACAAACACCAGAUUGUUUUACCAUAUACUUAAUCUUUCUUUCGACUUCAAGCCAUUCUUCGAACAUAUUGUGAUGAUACUUGAACCUAAUUCUGAAUUGUCUUUUAAUCUUGAUAAAUAUUGCAACCCUCGUUAUAAUGAUUCUGAUUUGACGAUUAUGAUUCUGUUUUGGUAAUAUUGCUUCUGUUCAAAUGGGAUUGAUUCUGAUUUAUUGAGAUAUUGUUGAUUUCAUUAUAUGGUUAAAGAAUUGGAUUGUUUUAUAAAUGUGGACCAGAUUCGUGGUCAGACCAGAUUCGUGGUCAUUAGGCCAAUGUGUGCCUUGGAUCCAGUGAUAGAGCUUGGUAUGUACCUGGCUCGGGGUUAGUGCGUGACUGAUCAGCAGCCUAACCUUGGUUUUUAAAUAAAAAUAUGAAUAUCCAAUUCUAAUCACUGCUUUAGAAAGAGAUUUGAUAUCCUGAUUCAUUAUCAUUGAUAAUUGUUGAACUUCAGUUUAUUGUUUAUAUUGCUUGCUGAGCUGUAAGCUCAUUCUUGCGAUUCUUUAUGUUCUUUUCCAGUGAAGAAAGAGACUACUGUUAGCGAGGACCCACAGGCUAGCCAUCAAGCUAAGGUAUCAGGAUGAGUGUUGGGAAGCCUUGCUAGGAGUUGCUGAUAGUAUAAACUUUUGAGUAUCGUUGUGUGUAAGCACUACGUUUUAUGUUUGUAAGUUGUAAGAUGGUGAUUGGGAUUCGAGGUAUUGUAAUAUAAUUUAAGUUGUGGCUUGUUUCAUACUAUAACCUGGAGCGAUCCGUGGAUGUUUAGGGUCAAUGCAUAUAUUAUUAUUGUUUACAGGUUUAUAUUGUUGUGUGACCCCCAAGUCUAUGACCCGGAUUUGGAGGGCGUCACAGGUUGGUAUCAGAGCUACAGGUUAUGAGUCAAUGAAACAAGCCUAGAUUGUCGGGUUUGGGUAGAGGGAUUAAGAUUAGAAAUGAGUGAUAGGUAGAUAGAACGUUGAGUAGGUGAGUAAUGGUGACUAACANNNNNNNNNNNNNNNNNNNNNNNNNNNNNNNNNNNNNNNNNNNNNNNNNNNNNNNNNNNNNNNNNNNNNNNNNNNNNNNNNNNNNNNNNNNNNNNNNNNNNNNNNNNNNNNNNNNNNNNNNNNNNNUGAAGAAUGUUCACACGUAUACACCCUAAUACUUGAAAUCCCUACAAGUUAAACAUAUUUGAAACCUCAAGCUAUUCUCACUUACAUUGUUUUCUUUACAAAACCUCAGAUUAGCUUCACCAUAUACUUGAUCUUUCUUUCAACCUCAAGACAUUCUUCAAACAUAUUGUGAGGAUACUUAAACCUACUUCUGAAUUGUCCUUUGAUCCUGAUAUGUAUUGCACCACUAAUUAUCAUGAUUCUGAUUUGACGAUUAUGAUUCUGUUUUGGUAAUAUUGCUUCUGUUCAAAUGGUAUUGAUUCUGAUUUAUUGAGAUAUUGUUGAUUUCAUUAUAUUGUUAAAGAAUUGGAUUGUUUUAUAAAUGUGGACCAGAUUCGUGGUCAGACCAGAUUCGUGGUCAUUAGGCCAAUGUGUGCCUUGGAUCCAGUGAUAGAGCUUGGUAUGUACCUGGCUCGGGGUUAGUGCGUGACUGAUCAGCAGCCUAACCUUGGUUUUUAAAUAAAAAUAUGAAUAUCCAAUUCUAAUCACUGCUUUAGAAAGAGAUUUGAUAUCCUGAUUCUUUAUCAUUGAUAAUUGUUGAACUUCAGUUUAUUGUUUAUAUUGCUUGCUGAGCUGUAAGCUCAUUCUUGCGAUUCUUUAUGUUCUUUUCCAGUGAAGAAAGAGACUACUGUUAGCGAGGACCCACAGGCUAGCCAUCAAGCUAAGGUAUCAGGAUGAGUGUUGGGAAGCCUUGCUAGGAGUUGCUGAUAGUAUAAACUUUUGAGUAUCGUUGUGUGUAAGCACUACGUUUUAUGUUUGUAAGUUGUAAGAUGGUGAUUGGGAUUCGAGGUAUUGUAAUAUAAUUUAAGUUGUGGCUUGUUUCAUACUAUAACCUGGAGCGAUCCGUGGAUGUUUAGGGUCAAUGCAUAUAUUAUUAUUGUUUACAGGUUUAUAUUGUUGUGUGAUCCCCAAGUCUAUGACCCGGAUUUGGAGGGCGUCACAUAAUCGAGUUCAUGCUAAAGAUAAAAUAACUAAACUAAACUAAACUCUUUUCAAACUGCUAUCUAUGAUGAAUGUUUGCAGCUUUUGGAGGGUGAUAUUGGAGGAGGUGUAGUGAUGACUUUUUUUCGUUUGAGUAAUAGUGUAGGGGUGACUUACGCGUGUUGUAAAAUUAUAUUAUUUUGAUUGACUAUUUUUAUUGCAUUAUUUUUUCCUGACGAAAGAAACAGUAAGUUGUAAUUUUAGAUAUUGUUUGAUUUUAAUAGUAGUAAUUAUAGUUCUUAAUUUUAUUGAUUUUUUGAAUGGCAAGUUGACUCUCUUUAAAUUUGUUUAUCUUUGGAAUUUGACUUUUCUCUACAUGUUUUAUUUUGAAUUUUUGUGUUUUCAUUUGAAGAUAAAAUCUUUAUUGAUGGUUAUUGUACCUGAAUUCCAUAAUUCAUGGGGUCAUAAAAGAUGAUUUUAUUGUGCCUUAAUGAAGUAUUAUUGUGUCAUUAAUGAUUAAUUGGUUGAUUGAUGUAUACCAAAUUCAUAUUGUGCUGAUAAUGAUAAUUAGUUAAAUUCAUGAUACCUAUGUUUCUCAAGAUUUUGUCUUAUAUUUGAGUAGAUAGAUCUUGGCUAUGUUUUCAAAUUUUCAGUUAUAUUUUCUUAUUUAUAUUUUAAAUUUUUAUUGAUAUUAACAGUCAAUUACUCCUUGUGAGAUUUAUAUUUUAUUACGUAUCUAAUCAAAGGGAUCUCAUUAUCUCUUUGGUGUAGAUAUUUUUGAUUAUUUGUUUUCAAAAGUUUUGAUUUUUGUGACAAAAAAAAAAGUUUUGAUUUUACUUUCCUUAUUCUUUAUAAAUUAUAUUAUAUUCAUAUUUUUUUCUUUUUAAUUAUGAGUUUGUUGACUCUUUUUCUCUGUCGUUUGGAUAGUUUAAUUAUUUUAUAUUCUGUAUAAACUUAUUAUGUUCUUUUUUUGUAUUGUAUUUUUUCAGAGUACGCGAGUAGAUAAAGGAAUGAUAGCGGGACCUCUUAUGGGUGUUUUCUUAUUGAAUAUUAAAACUUUAUUGCAUAAGUGUUCCUGGUUAGGCAUGUAAAUGGAUCAAAUAUCCGACCCGAUCCGAGUUUAUCUAAAUGGAUAUGGUUAAAUAAUUCGCCCCCGAUAAAGAAUGGAUAUGGAUAUGGUAAAAUCCGAUCUGUUAACGAUCUGAUCUGAUACACGUUUAACUAUAUUAUAUAUUUUAUUUUAUAUCAUAUUAAAUUAUAUUAUAUAUACUAUGUUAUAUAGUUCUAUGGAGACCACUUUUUUUGGAGACCGUGGAGACCACUUAUGUUCUGCAAGUAAAAUAUUGCAUAAAAACAUUGCAAAACACAUAAUUUUGCAAAUCAAAUACAUUAUUUUGUGAAGUAAGUUCUAUAAAUAUCACCAAUUCAUUAAAAUUAUUGAAGAACAUCUAUGUUUAAUAAGUAGAAUGUGUAUGUUCUGCAAAUUGAACAAAUGUUCUGCAAACUAAACAUAUUCCGCAGGAUAAAAUAUUUAUAAUAUUCUACAUGCAAAACAUACAUGAUAUUCAAGAUUUUAAAUGAUAUAAUGAUCUUUGUACAACAUGAUUUGCAAAAUUAUGAGUUUUGCAAUGUUUUUAUGCAUAUUUUACUUGCAGAACAUAAACGGUCUUCACGGUCUCCAAAAAAAAUGGUCUCCAUAGAAAUUAACUCCUAUGUUAUAUUAUAUUAUAUUAUACUAUAUUAAAUUAUAUUAAUAUAUUACAUACAAAAAUAAAAUUUUCUAAAUAUACAAAAUUUUGAUUCUAGCCUACACAGGUGAACCACACAAAUCUCAAAUAUGUUAUAUGCAGUAGUGGUGGUAUAUAUUCUGUUCGAACUUGAAUCAGAAUAAGAGUAAGUCCAAAAGUGUCCUAGAUUGCCUUAUAAUAUUAUAAAAUAUAGUGUUAUAGUAAUUUAGGACAUCACCUGUUGUACAUCUACUCAAAGAAUGUGUAUAUUACUAAAAUAAUAAUAUAUUUGAAUACAAUUACAUGUAAGACAAUUGUGAAGAGGAGUGAAAAAGAAGUGAAGUGAAUAUUUUAUGAAUGAAAGUACUUUAGGAUAAGUGUAGCAGUGACUUAAAAGUGAGGCACAUGUUUUGUGUACUAGUGUUUUAAGACACCACUAGACACUUUUGGAUUACAUUUUUGUCUCAAGUGCCUUAAAAUUCUAGUUUAAGACAUCAUUUUAGGGCAUCUUUGGACAUGCUCUAACCAACAGUGAAUAUUAGCGGUUAUGUUCAUGUCAAAAUAGUGGGGCUAUUUUUAUAAUUUAGUAUUUAAAAUUGAUUUUGAUGUUAAAAUAAAAUCAUGUUUUUUUGUAAAUCUGGUUCAAAUUUAAACACCUUUUCAAAGACCCCGGCAAUUAUGAAUUUUUUUUUAAUUUCUCUCUCUUUCUACUUCAACUUAUGUCUCUAUCUUUCAUUCUACAUAUAUCACUAAUUAAAUUUUAGCACAAACUAUAAAAUAUCACUGAAAUGAUGAGUUUUAGUUCUAAAACAAGAUAUGGUAAGAUACAGUAGAUCCUUAAACUUGGAGAAACAUGUGAUUGGAUAUAUCAUCAGCAAUUUCUUCUGCAGAAAGACAUUGUGGACUAUGGUUUGAUCAGGAUUGACACCCAUAACACAUUAUUACAUUUUUCGCUAGAACUCGAAAUCCACAAAUUCAGUAAUCAGAAAGCAGCCAGAACAGGCUUAGGUGGAUCAACCAGAAAGAUAUCAAGAAGUUCCUCAACUGUUGUGUACUUGUACUCCGGGUAUAGCUCAACAACGUCCAAGUCAUCCUCUUUCAGAUCAUAAGCCAUCUCCUCGCCUUUUACGAAAAGGCUGUGAAGUAUGGCCAUUGGUACAUUAUCCGGAAAAGGCAAGGCUGCAUAUACAUUUAACAAAAUCAACUUGUUAGUCAUAUUCUUCUGCCACUAUUUGCAAAUCACAACUGAAUUUUUCGGUCGACUAAAUCUUACUCUCAGAAAGACCGAUGAGUUUUUUCUCAGAGACGUAGGCCUUUUCCAUAGUUCGUCCGGUUUUCUUCUCCCACAUUGAAAUCAAAUCCAACUGGGUGAUUAUACAUUUCGGAAGCCUGUAGAUAAUCAAACCAUUUUCUGUUCGGGAAUCCACCGCGACUUUCACUGUGUACUCUGCUAUAUCUUUUUCGUAGUUACAGCUGACUUGAUUAGCAAAUAAAAAGCAAUCUAAAUUAGGCAUUCCAUCAAAAAUUUGAAGUCACUGAGCUGAAAAGUGAUAAGAGAUAAGAACUUACACCGCGCUUCGCCAGUUCCAUAGAUGGUAACUUUGUUGCUUUUCUUGUCAUAUGGACGAAGCAGAUAAUUCACAAAAUAUGCACCAUAUGUGUUUGCAACCACAAAUGUAUAUGGUAUUCCAGAUUUUUCAGCGGCUCUUCGGAUGAUCUUCUUCUGGUCGCAACAUGCUUGAUACGGUGGCAGUGGACUAAUUCGAUCACACUCAUUUCCAAAUUCGGAGGGAAUGAAUCUCUGAGAAACAGAGCAAAUGUGUCAAUUCUUCCUAGCCAUCAAAACCCAAAUGUAUAAACAGAAAUCGUACCCAGUUCACAAAACUUCCAAACAAUUCGGGUACUUACCUUCACAUUACCCGCCUCUUUCAUGGCUGCUAUUAUUUUGAGUUGGUCCAUGAUCGGAGGCAUUCCCAGCGUCACAAUAACAAUAUCAACCUGGCGAAUCGCCUCAACAAGCUUCUCAUGUUCAUCGAGUUCUCCCUGUUGCACGAAAAAAUGUAUCAAAUGUACGGCCAUGAAGAGUUCUCCGCAUUUUAUAGGGUGAGAUUCAAACCAGAACUUUAACGGUGCAUGUUUACCUCAAAAAUGGUAACCCCGAGGGACUUAAAUUCUUUGAGAAGGUCCAGCUUGGAGGGAUCAUGAUGAGGUUUCACGGGUCGAGCAUAAACAUAAGUAGGAUGAGCAGCUGCGACGCAUGCUUUAACUUGGUACGUACCAUAAUAUCCGGUUCCUCCGAAUAUAAGUAUUUUGCUCUUCUUCUCAAUGUCUCCCAUUCUCUUCACUGUUCUUUAC